rnacentral:lncRNA from 1 species
UUUUUUUUUUUUUUGCUAAUUAGUGAGUGGAUCAAUUUUAUAUUACGUUAAUUGUUAAAAUACAAUAUGAGAAUGAAAUAGUAUCCAUGAGAAUAAGCCAGUGUGUGACUUAGUAUUGGUAUGAUUCCUAAUGAUAUUAACUGACUGUCUGCUUGUCCUACUCAUACAAUUGUAUUUAAUCAUUUUCCUGUUUUAUUCGACUCUGGCUUUCGAAUUAGGAGUCUGUUCUUGAGGCAGACGAAUAAUUCUGUUAUUGUAUUUAAUCUUAUUCAAUAUGGUGACUAGGACCAUGCCGGGAAUCUUAACGAGGCUAUUAAUGCUCAUUUUGCUGAGGGGGAUGGAAAUAUGUAAGAACUCUGCCCAUCUGUAAUUUUUUUUUUGUAUUUUAAUUCUUUUUGUCAAAUGAUCUUGGUAUAUUAGCUUCAUUUUUUUGUUCGUUACUGAGUAUUAUUUCUAAUCAGCACAAAUGAAGCAUCUGUUGUACCUCAAGAGGAUUUAAUGGACGUAGAUGAUCCAGUCCAACCGGAGAUACAGCGAAAUCCCUUUCCUCUGUUACAAUCUCCUGGACUUAUGAAUCCAUUCUCUCUCUUGGACCGUGAUGUCCGUAGCAGCAUAUUUGAUAGAGUUCCCAGUUUAGUAAGCAGUAUAUUUGACAGAGUUCCCAGUUCAGCAAGUCGAGCACCAUUUGUUUCACAUCCAAGAGAAGUAAGGGAAAUACCAAUCGAGGUUAAGGAUGGUAAUGAACAAUCAAGUCAUUCUGGUCACGCUCCAACCAUUCAAGAUGUUACUGGUACUGCAGAUGAUUAUGGCCCAGAGAUACAUGGGAAUGUUAUAAUUGAUGAAGAAGAUGCCGAAGAUAUUCCUAGAACUCAACGGAUUGCACCAGGUGAUGCAGGAAAUGACAGUAUCAUGGGUGGUUAUCCUGACAUUAUAAAUUCUGGACCAAGUGCUCCUGGAAUAGAUCAUAUACCUGAAUACAGUAACGACAUAGAAGAAGAAAUGAUCCGAGCUGCAAUUGAGGCUUCCAAGCAAGACACUAGAAGUGGUUACACACGUCGAAGUGAGUCCAUGUCUCAGCAAAGCCAGUCUGAGAUUAAUGACCCAGAACUAGCGCAAGCUGUUUCUUUGUCACUGAAGGUUUGUUCUUGCAACAACUUUUGACUUGAUCUACUAUGACCUGCUGUCCUUCUGACUAUGAAUUCUAAUCAGACAGCGGAUCAAGAGAAAGCAUCACGUGGAAUAGGAGAUAAAUUUCGAUCAUCUGAGUUGGGUAUUUCUACAUCAACUGAGGUGGAAGCUCUAGGAAAAUUAACAUCAAGUGGGAGGUAUUUCUUAUCUCAAAACACACACACAUACUGUAACUGUUAAUUUUUAGCACCCGUUGCUUAUGUUAUAAUUCUGCAACCAUACUUAAGAGGCUUAAGUUUUCUACAUGUAUUGUUGGGAAAGAUUUUGGCGAUCUGACGAGCUCAUUGUUGACAUUCUAGGUUAGAGGCAGAAGGGUCUUCUAUGCGGGAUGAGAGUGACGAGGCUGAAGAUCAGCCACUAGUAAGACACCAGAUUAAUCCCAGUUCUACCUCAGCUGACACCGGGAAAGAGAUCGAUUAUACGAAACCAUCGAAUUCUCAACACAAUAAUACUAGUUCACAGCAAAACAGAAGUGACUCACAUAUGAAUGAGGUAUUUCCUAUCUUUUUCUGUCAAAUUAGAUCUGUGCAAAAAAAAGAAUAUCCUAUUGUCACUAUUAUCUACAGUAUAUGAUUCAAGUCAACGGUUCCUCACAUAUUUGACUGUUUGCUUCAUUAAAAUAUACGUCCAAGUGGGGAGGCAUUACAUCUUUGGAACAUGACGAAGCUGUUAUGCUUGAGGCUGCACUUUUUGGUGGUGUCCCCCAAGGAAACACAUAUCAUGUACCGUAUGCACCAGGUCAGUCCAGGAACAACGGAGUAGGUGAAACUGAUGGUUCUUAUCCUCGGCGCACACCUCAUCCACCAUCACCUUCUCUCACUGCACAAAGAUUGAUACGUGAACAACAGGUAUCUACUAUGUAAUCGAAUGAGGAAUUAAGGACCAUGUUCAGAUUGAUAACAAUUUGUCACUAUUCUUAUAUAUUGUACGUUUAGGAUGAUGAAUAUUUUGCAUCACUGCAAGCUGACCGAGAAAAAGAAUUAAAAGCUAGGGAGGAAGCUGAAAUUCGAAAGUUAGAGGAGCAGGUAGCUGCAGAAUCUGCUCUGAUAGAAGAAAGAAAAAAGGAAGAAGAAUUACAAAGAAAAUUGGAGGAACUUCAGGUAAUGGAGAUCAUAUGUUUUAUGUAUUGUAUAACUCUUGUUUCCCUUGCUAUCUGUUCAAGGCGCUUAACAUAUGACAGUCUUCAUCCUCACCCACUUGCUACUUUAUUAACAUUAUUGCAGAUUCCAACACUUCCUGCUAUAGAGAUGUUGGAUCCACAAUGAAAUAUGUAAAUUAAUAAAACCAUCUGUAGCAGUACUAUAUGCUACGGACUUGCAAAUUUUGCCAAGAAUCAAAUCAAACGCGAUAAUUUGGCCACCGGGUCAUUGUUAAGGUUGAUAGUGUGUCGUGUUUGCGAGGAGGAAGACUGAUUGGUUUGUUGAACACGUUCUUUUACUUUUGGACAGUAGCUGCGAGUGUCUCCGGAAGGUGAACAGCUCCCUACCUCUGUAUUUCUCUUUGUUUCCUCCUCUAAUUGAUUGCACUCCACCCAUGAACCCUCGUCUGUAAUUUCUCAAGCUCCUCAUCAUUGCUUUGAGGAAUAUCUUAGCCCUUACCAAUAACAUAUCUCCUACCUGAUUGCACAGUUUUCCCUAGUUUCACACUGCAUUACCUAGGUCUUCCAGUUUGUAGUGGCUGCACCCAAGGUCUCCAGUCUCACCAUUCCCCAAUGACACUACAAACCUGCCUGAAUCCUCUACAACUACUCAACAUCCGAACACCAGAAAAGGAAAUAAAAUUAUGGGUUGCUCUAGGACCAAUCAUGACGAUAAUCUCCCUAAUCAUCGAUAUUUCUUCUGAGUUUCAUAGUUUUCAGGUUAGAAAACCUAUGACCGAGUUGAGAGAUACUUUAAUGGACGGCUUCUCCAUUGGUGACAUGGGUGGCUCUGUAGUCCCUCCAUCCCUUUCCUUGUCAUUGUCUUCAUCGAUCAAAAUAUCACUGGGUUCCUUGCUUCUGCAACAGUGAACUAGUGACCACUUAUCAUGGCAACAAAAGCAGAUACCCCAUAUGAACAAGUUGAGACCAUAACACCUUUCUUACUAUAACCCCAUGAUAUUCCAGUUUAAUACUGCCUAGUGACUGCCUUCCUGACGUUUUUACCUUGUUCUUUUAUUCCACCAGUGUCGCCAACUCUAUGGCUUGCUCUAAAUUGAUGGGGGUUUAGGAGUCAUACCUCUUCUCCCACCUUCAAACAUUCAAACCAUUAAUGAACUGUCCCUGCCCUCAGAAAUUCUCUCUAACGGGGCUGCAGUUUCAAUAAAUCACCUCUUGUACUCAGCUGUCAUACUUUUCUGAAUGGCAGCUAACCACUUUUCAUACAGUGAACCACUGUCCGAUGGUCGAAAUUGAUAAAGCAUGACGGUUUUAAAUCAGCCCAUAACCUAAUGGGGUGGCAUUUCUGUUCCCCAUUGGUACCAAUGAAGGGCGUCCCCUUCCAAAGCUAUUUCAACAGUUUCCCACAUCUCGUUGGAACUAUAUUCGUCGACUUCAUCUCGUUGUGGAACUUCAGUUCUUCAUUGCAAUCAAGCUCAUCAUCUGCUCCUGUUAGCAUGAUUUAUAUUCCCUUCUAACUAAUUCCAUAGCAUCCAUGUCCUCCCCUUCGACAUUAGCCUGGAGACUUCUACCAUAUCCCCAUUUAUCCCAAUGCUCGUAUCCUUGUCCUUCCUACCAUCCUCAUUCACUCCAUCCCCAUUUAUCCCGAUGCUCGUAUCCUUUUCCUUCCUACCGGCCUCAUUCACUCCAUCCUCAUUUAUCCCAGUGCUCGUAUCCUUGUCCUUCCUACAAUCCCAAUCAUUCCAUCCUCUUUGAUCUCGAUACUCAUAUCCGCCUUGCCCUUGCUAGCAGCAGCAUUAUCCAUGGGUUUGUCAAACACAGCAUCAUAAUCUUUGAGAGACUUAUAUUUCCUCUUCGACGACUUAAUUUUCUCCUUCAACUGCGUAAGAGACGCUUUUGCCUGGAGAGAAUCCUUAACAAACUCAAAAAAAAACCGUUCUGAUUACGAGGUAGUUUUUGACAAUCAGGGUAAUGCUGCUGGCAAGGACAAGGAUAUGAGUAUCGAGAUCAAUGAGGAUGGAGUGAUUGAGGACUGUAGGAAGGACAAGGAUACGAGCAUUGGGAUAAAUGAGGAGGAGUGAAUGAGGCCGGUAGGAAGAAAAAGGAUACGAGCAUCGGGAUAAAUGAGGAUGGAGUGAAUGAGGACGGUAGGAAGGACAAGGAUAUGAGCAUCGGGAUAAAUGGGGAUAUGGUAGAAGCCUCCAGGCUAAUGUCGAAGGGGAGGACAUGGAUGCUAUGGAAAUUUAGUUAGAAGGGAAUAUAAAUCAUGCUAACAGGAGCAGAUGAUGAACUUGAUUGCAAUGAAGAACUGAAGUUCCACAACGAGAUGAAGUCGACGAAUAUAGUUCCAACGAGAUGUGGGAAACUGUUGAAAUAGCUUUGGAAGGGGACGCCCUUCAUUGGUACCAAUGGGGAACAGAAAUGCCACCCCAUUAGGUUAUGGGCNCCUUAGGAACUUGAGAGACAUUUGGCAUCUAAAGAAGCUUCUCUCCCGCAAGAACCAUCACCAGAUGAUGAUAAUGCCGUUAACCUGCUUGUGCGGAUGCCAGAUGGCGGCCGGCAAGGCCGCAGAUUCCUCAAGUCCCACAAGCUUCAGGUAUUUAUUCCGUGACAAUAUUUUUCCAGUUAUUGGUUAAAAGUUGUAUAAUUGGUUGUGACUUGAUUUGCAGCAUCUUUUUGACUUCAUCGAUGUUGGUCGGUUGGUCAGACCUGGUACUUACAGACUGGUAAUCUUUCAUGUGCUUUUUUACCUUUCACACUUAAUUUUUGUGGGGGCACACUUAUAUUUUUACAAAGUUUUAAAUGAUGAAUAAAUUCCAAAUAAUUUUAUGGGGGACAGUGCCCCUUACUAGAUCCCCUCCUGGUGUCCAAACUUUUUUUACAUUUCAUAAUUGAUUGUCUGGACCGGCAAAGAGCAAUGAAUAUUCAUUUUAGUCACAUAGGAGUGUCGGGGUUUGUAUUGUUGUUAUGCUUGAUAGCAUAUAGAGAGCUUAUUGACUAGUUGACUCAACAUCGUUUCUUUUUCCUUUCCCCCAUCUUCUCUGGUGAUUAAUGUUUGCGUGAUCCCACUAGUCCUUCCGAAAAAAAAAAAAGAAGUUAUAUUGUAUUUUUAAAAUGAAUUGCAUUUCAAACUAUUUGUUUGAUAAGUAGGGUACUCGUGUAAUUUAAUUGUAAUAUCGAUACCUUUUUUUGUAACACCAAAGAAAAAUUAGAAUCUUUAUAGUGUCAGGACUCUUGAUACUUGGUAGAUGCUUGAGAAGAAGGCUGUAUUUGAAGAUAUGGAGAAUGUGGUAACCAUAUGACUAAGGUCAACUAACUUUUGCUUGCUAAAGUGGAAUUCUGUCAAAAAUUUAUCUGUAUCUAUCUCUUUUUUGUAGUCAUCAGUAGAUUUACUCUUCCAUAUGUAUCAGGGUUAAGUUGUUGAAACGUAUCAGUCCUUGAUAGGUGUUGGCACAAUUUAGAUGAGCAAAAUAUUUAAGGAACGGAUGUAUUUCAACUUGGCAUGCAAAACGAGUUAUACAAAUGGUAGAUUAGCUAGUUGGUAAUUUAAUGAGAAUCCUUUCCAUUGGACUUGAUUUAUUGAUAGAGAAGCAAAGCACAAUGUUACUUCCUGAUACAUAAUGUAUUUAUGCCUUGUAUAGAUAUAUUAUGAUUGUUAGAAUUAAACAUGUUUUAUUUUGCACAGGUAAGGCCAUUUCCAAGACGGGCUUUUGGUGUUGGUGAGAGCGCAUCAACUUUUGAUGAACUUGGCCUGUCCGGCAGACAGGAGGCCUUGUUUCUGGAGUUAAUAUAGCAGAUAUAGUUAUCGUAAAAUUGUAAUAGGAUCUUGAAGAGUUUACCCAGAUGGACCAACCUUGUUUGUUAGUUGGAUGUAAAAGUUGUUUGGAGACGGGUAUUUUGUCGAAGUUUGUAUCUAUCGGGUAUUUGGUCUUGUAGUCAGACUAUGGCUCAUACAGUUUGAAGUUGAUAUCAAAUCUUAGAUGAGAAUGUUUGCAGUUUUAAAUUACUGUUUCUUGAAUCCGAUAUCGAAUUUUAAACGAAAAUAUGUGCAGUUCUAACUUGAAAGUUAUGCAAAUUACAUUAAUAAUAUCAUCUAUUUUGAGUCUCUUGGUCUUCGGUCUUCUAUUGCAGCAUAUCAUAUACUUCUCAAAUGAUUGAAAAUGAACUCUCUCCAAAAGACAAGGGGGUCUAUCGAAGUAGACCAGCAAUUGAUUUUACUUGAAGAAACAAGAAUACUCCAGUUCACUUCUUAAAGUUUUGGUCGUCUUUUAUCUCUCAAAGUCUUGAUCUUUGUCGUUUACAUCUCAAACAAUUUGCCAUCGUAUUGAACACUUCACACAAUUCCAUGCUAUCGUAUCAAACACUUCACACAAUUCCAUUAAAUUGAAGAUUUUUGAUGAGAUGUUUUAACUGUGAGUCUUUCAAAUUAUUGCUUGUAAGGCCCGCGAUAUUUUAGAGAGUCACCAAAGCUUUGGCAUGCAUCGGAAUCAACGACAGCACUAUUUUAGGGGUUUGAUGCUCUUAAUAUUAUUCAUUUGGCUCAUAAAUUUCAAGUGGAGAGUGGAGAAGAAAGAGCAUCGUGAUUGUCACUGUACCCUUACUUAAAAUUUGUUCGAUUAGGUUUUUUUACAUAGUUUGCGCUUGGUCAUCUGGGUAGGCCUUCAUUAUAUUAAUCCACUCGCAUGUCUUCAUCCACUCUUGUAAUUUUAUAUUAAACAAAUUUAAAUUUCUCACAUAAAUUUGUAAAAAUAGUAAAUUUUUUCUUAUUUAUGAUAUUAAUAAAUCUCUUACUCUCUUAUUACUGUAUUCAACUAAUUAUUUUUUCCUAACAGUUAUAAAUGUAUCACAUCAGUUAUGAAAUUUAAAAUAAAUAUGUCCAAUUUCUUCGAGAAAGAUGGUUGCAUAAUUUUUAAUUUAAAAUUUUAAUUAUUUUUAUUUUCAAUAUAAUUUACAACUAAAUUUUUUUAUUAUAUUUUCACUGCUUCAUAUUUGUAAUAAAAUUAAAUAUAUCAUAAAUACACUUUUUUAUAUAUAUAUGCUAACCUCUAGAGAUGUUAAAGAUCAUCCCAAACAAAAUUUGAAAGCGAAAAUGAAAAUGAAAAAUUCCGUACUCAGUUUUUUCACCAUCAGUGUGAUGCUCAUCUUCUUGCAGUUGCAGCACCACCUGGUGGCUUCUUCAUUGAGCCCCAGCUUGCAGAAACUUGCGUUGUUCGACUUUAAACAAACCUUUUCAAUCAGUAAUGAUCCUAGUAGCUGGAUAUGCUCCUAUUAUUCCGUCGAAGACGAAGAGUUUUACGAAAUUCCUUCUCGGCCAAAGACAAAGAAUUGGAGCAUGAGUUCUGAUCACUGCACAUGGGAUGGAGUUAGCUGCGACGACAAGACAGGGGGCGUUAUCGGACUGGACUUGAGUUGCAGUCAGCUGGAAGGAGCCAUUCUUCCUAAAAGCACUCUCUUCCAACUCUCUCAUCUCCGCUUCCUCAAUCUCUCUCAAAAUGACUUUUCCCUCUCCAGUCAGUUCCCUCCGGAAUUUGGUUUCUUUGCAAAAGGUUUGACGCAUCUCAACCUCUCUUAUACUGGAUUAUCAGGGAGAGUUCCCUCUCGAAUCUCUCAUUUGCAGAAACUGGUCUCACUUGAUCUCAGUUACAACGAUGGGGCUGAACUUGAAGAAGAAGUGUUUAAAUCACUGUUGCAGAAUUUAACGCAUCUCGGAGUGCUUAAUCUUCACGGAGUUAACAUCUCCUCUGUUUUGCCCGUGAAUAUCUCUACUUCUUUAAGAGUUCUUCAAUUGUCGUAUACUGAUAUACACGGAGUAGUACCCCAAGAGGUUUUCCACCUUCCCAACUUGGAAUCACUUGAUUUAUCAUAUAAUUUCCACCUCCUGAGAGCUACAUUACCCAAAGUUAAGUGGGGAAGUAAAGCUACUCUCCGACACCUUCAUCUUUCACACGUCAACAUAGAUGGAGGAGGUAUACCUGACUCAAUAGGCUUUUUAAAGGACUCAUUAGUCAGUUUGUAUCUGGGCGGCUGUAAUUUGUCUGGGCCUGUACCAAGAUCCAUUGGGCACCUCGUUCAACUUACUCACUUGGGCCUCUCUCAAAAUAAUCUCAAUGGCCCAGUUCCAACAUUUUUUACAGACGUUACAGACUUAAGAUAUAUCUCCCUUGCGCGUAACAAUUUCACUGGAUCUCUACCUCGUUGGUUGUUUCACCAUCCAUCGUUAGAGACCUUGUAUCUGCAUAGUAAUGCAUUCACGGGUCCACUACAUGAAUUUGAUUCUUCUCGAUCACGGCUGCAAUCUUUUUCUUGUUCCAGCAAUUUACUCAAUGGAUCCAUUCCACAUUCAUUUUCUCAACUUGUCAAUCUCACUAAACUAGAUUUGUCAUCAAACAAUUUCAGCGGGGUUUUGGAUUUGGAAAUGUUUUCAGACCUCGAAUCUCUAGAACGUCUUAGACUUUCUCGUAACAGUCUUUCAGUGACAAGUACAAGUAUGGCCACUCUCCCUCCUACGCUUAACUACUUGGACUUGUCAUCUUGUAACAUGAAAGAGUUUCCUCAUUUUUCAAGAGAUGCAAACAUCUCCCUGGUGUUUGUAGACCUAUCAAACAAUAAAAUUGAAGGGGAAAUUCCACACUGGAUUGGGUUGCUGGGGAUGUCCUAUCUGAAUCUUUCUCACAACAAACUAAUAGGCGGUCUUGAGCAACUGCCUUGGAGUCAUAUUGAAUAUCUUGAUCUCCAAUACAAUAAGCUGAAUGGAUCGUUGCCCACCUUGAUGUGUAAUUCCAGCUCUCUUUAUAUUCUAAAUCUGUCUCACAACAAGUUGAGUGGUGUACUACCCAUUUGUCAUACAAAUUUGACUUGGCUUUCCGUGUUGGAUCUGCGGAGGAAUAAAAUUCAAGGAAACAUUCCAGCAACCCUGUCAAAUUUCCAUAAUCUGGAAACCAUUAAUUUGAAUGGAAACCAAUUAGAAGGAAGCAUUCCUUCUUCUUUUGCUGGAUUUGAUUCUUUAGCCGUUCUUGAUCUUGGAAAUAAUCAGAUAAAUGAUACAUUCCCCCAGUGUUUGGAAGCUCUUCCAAAUCUUCAAGUUCUUGUUCUCAAAUCAAAUAAGUUUUAUGGUCUUAUAAACACGAGUUCUCAGGUUGUACACCCAUUUCCUAGCUUGAGAAUCAUUGAUCUUUCGUACAACAAGUUUUCAGGUGCACUGCCAGAAAAAUAUUUCAGAAACUUCAAGGCUAUGAUGAAUGGUGAAGUGAAUAAGGUAAAUCGUAGUUAUAUGGAGCAGGAUCUUUACAGUGAUUCCACAGCUCUAGUGAUUAAAGGCAUGGAGAUUGAUUUAGAAAGAAUUUUGACUGUGUUCACAACUAUUGAUGUAUCAAAGAACAAUUUUGAUGGGGAGAUAGCUGAAUACUUUGGAAAUCUUGUAUCACUCAGAUUUCUUAAUCUUUCUCACAAUUAUCUCACAGGCCACAUACCACGCUCGAUUGGAAAAUUGACUGUGCUGGAGUCACUAGACCUCUCAUCCAACCAACUUCAAGGAGAAAUUCCUCCGCAGCUCACUAGUGUAUAUUCACUUGCAGUUCUCAAUCUGUCUUGCAACCAACUUAGAGGACGUAUUCCAGAAGGGUCGCAAUUCAAUACAUUUGAAAUCUACAGCUACGUCGGGAACUUUGGGCUGUGCGGAAAACCCUUGUCAAAAAAGUGUGAAAAUUAUGUCAGGGCACAAGAAGAAGACGAAGAAGAUGAGGAUGAUGAUUACUUUUUCAGUGGAUUUACUUGGGAAGCGGUGGUGAUUGGAUAUGGGUGUGGAGUGGUGCCUGCAUUUAUCACUGGCUACCUGAUGUUGUUGGCACGGAAACCAAAAUGGUUUGCUGGAAUCAUUGGCAGGGAACUGGGCCUGAAGAUCAGGAGGAUGGAGAUUAGAAGGCGAUAACUAAAGGUUUGCUGUAAUCUAUAUCCCAAUCUGUAGGUCUUGAAUAUUCAGUAAUAAUAUAUAUAGUAAUAUCUGCUAUCAUAUAAUUCUAUAUUUGCAGAUUGGAGAGGCAUGAACAUUUUGGCAUGCAAGUUGAUGGGACAAGCAGGAUUCAGAUGCACUGGAAUCAACCACUACUUCAGCUGUUUAAUUUGCAUCUUUUCUAAGUUACUCUGCACAUAUUCUAAGUUCCAUAUACAAGUUCUGUAAUGUUUAGUUAUUCUGCACAAACUCUAAGUUAGUUUCAACCACUGGGGUGUAAGCAGCCAAGUUAAUAAACCAGCAGUUUCUGCAGCUUUCACAACGUUGCUUCAUAUUAUUUUCCCCCUUAUUAGAUGAGCAAUAUAUUUGUGGAAUGGAUGUACCUGAAUUUGGUAUCCGAAGCUUAGUUAUAGAAAUUGUAGAUCAGCUAGUUUGCAACUUAGUGAGAAUGCUUUCCAUUGGACUUGAUUUACUCGUAGAGAAGCAGCACGCAAUGUUAAGGAAGGCCUGAUACAUAAUGUAUUCGAGGAAGUUUUGGAUUUCUUUUUAUUGAGAGUUUUUGCAAAACGUGGUUAAGAAAUUUGAGUUUUAAAAUUAGCUGUAAAAAGUAAUAGGUCAAUUGUAUUAGAUAUUUCAUGCAUUUGAGUUUUAAAAUUAGCUGUAAAAAAUAAUGGGUCAACGGCAACAGAAAUGAAUUGGUUUGGUUUCACCCGUAAGAGUUCUGCACUUCACACUCUAAAUUCCAGAAUUAAUAAAUUCAAGUCAUCUUUUAUGUCUUAGAGCAUCUCCAACCAUACAAAUUUCUUAACUAAAAAAUGAGGCAUUACAAAUAUAGAAAAUUAGUCAACUUGUUGAAAAAAUCAUAAAACCUGUAGUCUAUAAUUUUAGCCAACCUCUUACUAUAUUUGUCGAAUCUUUACAGAUCUACAAAUUUCUUACACGUUAUUUAUUACCAUAUUAAACUGAUAUAUUCUAUUUUAACAAACUAAAAUAUCAUUGAAGUACAAUGUCUUACAACUUCUGUAUAUAAUGUCUUACAAGUUCAAUUUAACCAACGAUUAUAGCCUACGAUGUUGCAAUGCUCUUAAGCCACUCUUUAUUAUUUUUGAUUCCAUAAUAAAUAAGUUUAAACUUUAAACUUUUUAUAUUUAAUAAAUUUAUAUAAUUAAUAAUAAUUUAAUUAUUAUUUUUUUAUUUGUAUUAAGUUUAAUUUAUAGAUACCUUUAUAUCAAAAAUACUAAAAUCAAUCAAAAUUUUAAUAUUUUGAUUCAGUAACUGGAAUAUAAAUAUAUCUAACUUUUGAAAUGAUAAAUAAAUAGUUUAUGAUUAAUAAAAAACUAGUAAGUAACUUGCACGAUUUCUCUUAUUUACAGUAAUAAAUCUCUUAUUAGCACUUUCAACUAAAUAUUUCUCCCAAACACUUAUAAUUUAUGUCCAAUUUUCAUAUUAUUUCCUUUAGAAAGACUGUUGUAUUAUUUUUAAUUUUAGUAAUUAGAUUAUUUUUAUAUAUAUAAAUUCCAAAUUUAAAAAACUUAAUAUUUUUGUCACGCUGCUUCUUAUAAUUUGUAAUACAAAUUAUUUCUAGAUAAAAUUAAUAUAUUAAUAAAAAUAGUGUAAACUCCAUAUAAUACAUUGAAAUUAAAUAAAUAUGCUCUGUACUUUUUUUUCACAUGCAAAAAACUGCACUGUUUCGGUUUAAGCAAAGCGUGAUAAUCAGGACUCCUAGCUGGAAUGGCGAGUAUUAUUCCUACGAAGAAGAUGAUGUUCAUGAUAUCCCUUCACCCCCAAAGACAAAGAAUUGGAGCAUGAAUUCUGAUUACUGCAUGUGGGAUGGAGUUAGCUGCGACGAGAAUACAGGGGACCUAAGGGGACUGGAUUUAAGCUGCAGUCAUCUGGUGCAUUGGAAUGAAAUUAUAGAACUUCUUCAGAGCCUGAUGCUCUCGAGGAUGCACUAAUGAACAAGCCUAAUGAUGAUCAUGAGUCAUAACUCCGUCCUAGAAUAAAGUAUCAUGAAACAUAUUUAGUAUUACAUUUUGUAUUAUUGGAAACUUGAUUUGAAACCGAAAUAGUUUGGUGGAAUCAUUGCCAGGGUAUUGGGUCCGAAGAUCGAGGAUGGAGAAUAAAUUGAUUUUGUUCAAAUAUUUAACACAACCCCAUCAUCAUUAUCCAUCACAAGCCCGGUCCAGUGUAGAGUUCUGGCAACUCCAUUUCUUGACACUUCUGUUGAAGUUGGCCUGUCUGGCAGACAAGAGGCCCUGUUUUAGAGGUGAUAUAUGCGCACAGGUCAAAAAUAUACUCCCUCCGUCCCACCAGAUUCUUUACAGUUUCCUUAUUUGGUCGUCCCACCCAUUUCUUUACAUUACAAAACUUUCUUAAAAUAGUUAAUGGGUCCCAACACUUUUCCACUUUUUCUCCCUUUUCACACUACUUUUACUCCACUAUCUCUUUAUUAUAUAUUAAAAAUCAGUGGGUCCCACCACUUCACCCACUUUUCUUUCUUUUUCCCACUACUUUAUACAUAUUUCUUAACCUCCGUGUCCAAACCCAAUGUAAAGAAUUGGGUGGGACGGAGGGAGUAUAUUUCUUCCAAUAGAUUACAUCUCUUUUCUUCAAAAUUUAUUGUAGUUUCAAAAUGUAGCAUUUGAGAACUCAUUCUCUUCACUUCUUAAAUACUUGGUCUUGGUCAAUACAAACACGAUUAAGACCGGUGUCAAUAUCACUCAUUAUUUUUCCACUCCUUUGAAUGGCAUUCUACAAUCCACAUAUCAGUACUCAGACUUUCACCAGUGAACCAUUAAUGCAUAGAUAAUUGAAGAAAGAAACUUCAACAUAUUUGCAUAUCUUUAUCCAUCUUUUUUUUCUAGUCAUCAACAGGCACAAGCUGUUAAUUUUUAUAUGUUCUUAAUUGGUAUAAGCAUUUAAGGUGCGUGUUGAUAUUUCUCACUAAUCUUCUUCUGCUCUAAGUGACAUAUUAUUACAAUCCACAAAUUAGUAGACAGACUAAUAUGGUUAGUUGAGACCAUCAAUCUGGAGAACAGACUAAUACAUGUGUAGUAAUCUGAUCAUCAUUUAUUUGAUUACAAUAGAAAUUCGGCUUUGUUUAGUUCCAUCCUCGGGCUCUUCAUUUCUAAACAUAUUUGCUGAUACUUUUUAUUGUACAAUUUAGAAUAUUCCAUAAAAUUUUAAAUUCGGUGCUAGAUGAUUUUAUGUCCUGUUUUCAUUCCAUUCAUGAACUAAUGAAAAUUUUGAAAUUGGGUCAUAUUAGGCAGUGAUGCCACCUUUCUGGACCUGCAUUUCAUGGCCACAAACUCCUAUUGUGCCAAAAAAUUCCAGCUGUUUGGUGAGAUUUUUCUACGUGCUCUUUUGUUCGGACUUGUUUGCUGAAUCCCACAAUAGACAAUAUUGAUGUUAACAACUCUUGCGUCAGUUACUAGACUUGUCAGUAGCCCAUUCUUUACGGCAGACGUGGAAUUUACUUGAAGAAAUGAAGGUGUAAGAAAGUUGAGAACAUUUUGUUGAUUAUUUCCUUCCCCAGAAACUGCACUCCAGCAUCAAAGUACCUUUCAAAGACUCCAGCAUCAUUUCUUGAUUAUCAAAGUCUUCGUCUUUGUCAUCUCCUGCUCUGAAAGUGCUUCUAUUGCAGACCACAUAUUAGUAGACAGACUACUAAAAUUCAUCUAAAAUGACCUCUCUGCGUGGGCUCUUUUGAACAAUCAGGGUUGGACAUGAUUCUACACGCAUCAGAGAAAAACUAUCAGCUGGCUAAAAACCUCUCUGCAUCAACUCUAUUGAGAAAAGAAACUAUGGCUCAUACAGUUUAAGUUGAUACCAAAUCGUAAAUGAGAAUACUUGCAGUUUUAAAUUACUGCACGCUAUUUUUUCAACGAAAAUAUGUGCAGUUUUAACAUAGUCUAAUUAUUUUCUUGAUGACGGCUCUGCAAAUUGUGAUAGUUGAAAAUCUUUUUAUCGUCUUUGACAAGCAUCAAGGAAAUGCAGGAAGGUUAUUUAUCAGCUGAUUAAUCUCUUUCUUUGUCUCUGAAAAUCCUUACAUUAGAUCUGUUGAGAGUCUUUACUGGGGAUAAUCUUCUGUCACUGGAUCUGUUGAGGUAACUUUGGGACAAAGUACUGUCUCUAUUACAUGGAAGUUUGAACUGUUUCAUAUUUUUUAGACAACUAAAUGCACUUACAAACUCGACUUGUGUUUGAAAAGGUUCAGACACUCGAACCUUGAAAAGAACGAGAGAGAUAUUAUUGGAUCAAGAGAUCUUUAGUCAGGUCUAGUGCUUUCUUAAAUUAAUUUCCUAAAGUUUCAGUUAAGAUGUGAACCAAAGCUCUUGGUGGUGGUUCUCAUUGCUCUCUUUGUUCCAAAUUAAACUUAAAAAUUGUUGUGUGAUCCCAAGUUGCGGGUUUACUGAUGAGAAUAAUAAAUAUUCAACUGAUGAUACCGAAGCAGCAGCAUACUGCAAUUUCUUGUAAUAAUCAAAAGUGCGAGUACUUAUAAAGAAACUUAUACCUAUAAAGCUGUAGAAACCAAUGGUAAGCAUAACUGCAUAUAAGAUACAAAACUAAAUUUAAUACAAGACUUGUUCUAAGCAUUGGAAAAUAUAAUUCAUCCUGGUCUUCAUCUUCUACUGCUCCAAAUAUGCUUUUAUUGCAGCCAAUGUAUUAGUGAAAAGAAUUAAAUUUAAAUUAAUUGUAGACCGCAAAUAUAAGAUUAUGAGAGUUUCUACAACCCACAAAUUAGUAGACAGACUAAUAUGGUUAGUUGAGACCAUCAAUCCGGAGAAACUGUUUCUAAAAUGACCCAUCUGUAUGAAUUAAUGAAGAAAGAAACUUAUACCUACAAUGUAAAGGAAAUGGUCACGAGUAUAUUGCAUUUUUAAUCCAAAUUGUAUAUGAUUCUAUCUGUGCUACUGAUAGUAAAUAAUAAAUCUACCACGGGCCUUGUAGUUAAUCAAGGUAUUUAACUCUACCUUUCUACAUUGUUGAAUAGUUUGAAUAAAAUAAUUGUAAUAAAAUUUUUUCUGGUGCUGUGUGAGUUUAUCAAAGCUAAUCUCGGUGAGAAAUUAACUAAAGCCCUUGGAAUUAGUAAAUAAAAACUCUGGGGAGUGAAAUUAAAAGUCUGAGUACAAGGCAAUGAGCAGGAAACAGCAUAAGGAGUUUACAACUUGAAGUUUCUAUUCUCCUCCGGUCUUUUUGUGAAAAUCAAGUGGCCAUUGAUACAGUUAAAAAUGGCAGGACUACACAUAAUAAAUCACACAGUCGCUUUAUGAGAGAGGAAAAAUGUCAGGACUGCAAUGCAUUUCUAGCCCAUUUUGUACAGCAGCUCAAACGUUUAAAAAACUUCAUUAAUUAUUUUCUUUUAUUGAAACCCACACUCAUCCAUCAAAGUAGCUCUCAAAGACUAAUUUCCAUCACCUUUUGAUUCUCAAAGUCUUCUUCUUCGUCUUCUACUGCUCCAAAAGUUCUUACAUUGCACGCCACAUAUUAGUAGACAUAUACUUGAUCUUGAUGUACAAUGUUAUGUUAUGAUGCUAAUAACCCUCUGCAGGGGUUAUUAAAGAAAGCAACUUAUAGUUUAAGUUGCUGAACAUUUGUGUGUGCCAAAUUUAAUUUCACACAUCAUUACUAGAUUUACACAUGGUAUUAGACAUCAGUACUAGUAUAAGAUGUUAAUCAAGUUUUUGAAUUUCUUUUAUUUCAGAUAACAAGUUUAAUUUUUUUUUUGUGGAAUUAAUUAUUUAUAUCACGCAUUUGAGCUUUAAAAUUAGCUCUAAAUAAAAGUUGAUUUUCGCUCAAAGAAACAAUGAUGUAUAAGAAGAUUUUCAGAACUGAAUUAUUUCUUUCAUUUUUACAAGUUCCAUUCAAGAACCGAAAGUAGCUCACAAAGACUCACUACAUCAUCUUUCAAUUCUCAUAGUCUUGGUCUUUGUCUUCUGCUGCUCAAAAAUUCUAUUACAGCCCACAUAUCAGUAUCAUAAACCUAAUUAUGAAUAGUAUUUAACACUAAACACAAUUGAAGAUUUGUCUCACAGACUUACUUCCAUCACCUUAUGGUUCUCAAAGUCUUCGUCUUCUAAUGCUCCAAAAGUUCUAUUAGUGCAGGCCACAUAUUAGUAAACAGACUACAAUUCAUCCAAAAUGACCCCUCGUAUUGGACACUUUGAACACCUCUGUCUGUAUAUGCAUUGGAGAAGAAUUAUCAGCUAGUUAAAAUAAGGGAAAUUCUUCAUGGUACACUCAUAAAAUUGGCUUUUCUCAAUGGUACCAUCCCAUUUUUGACUGGUACCAGUGGUACCCUCGUACUUUGAAUCUACUCUCUAUGGUACACUCGUGUACUUUUGAUCUAAAAUUGGAUGUAAAAGUUGUUUAGAGACGGGUAUUUUGUCUAAGUUUGUAUUUAAUCAUCAGGUAUUUGGUCUUUUAGUCAGACUGUGGCUCAUACAGUUUGAAGUUGAUAUCAAAUCUUAGAUGAGAGUGUUUGCAGUUUUAUAUUACUGAACAUUUUUUCUUGAAUUCGAUAUCGAAUUUUAAACGAAAAUAUGUGCAGUUUUAAUUUGAAAGUUAUGCAAAUUACAUUAAUAAUAUCAUCUAUUUUGAGUCUCUUGGUCUUCGGUCUUCUAUUGCAGCAUAUCAUAUACUUCUCAAAUGAUUGAAAAUGAACUCUCUCCAAAAGACAAGGGGGUCUAUCGAAGUAGACCUGCAAUUGAUUUUACUUGAAGAAACAAUAAUACUCCAGUUCACUUCUUAAAGUUUUGGUCGUCUUUUAUCUCUCAAAGUCUUGAUCUUUGUCGUUUACAUCUCAAACAAUUUUCCAUCGUAUUGAACACUUCACACAAUUCCAUCGUAUUGAACACUUCACACAAUUCCAUGCUAUCGUAUCAAACACUUCACACAAUUCCAUAAAAUUGAAGAUUUUUGACGAGAUGUUUUAACUAUGAGUUCUUCAAAUUAUUGCUUGUAAGGCCCGCGACAUUUUAGAGAGUCACCAAAGCUUUGGCCUGUGGAUUAAGUUGAUGAAAUCUAAUGCAUCGGAAUCAAUGACAACACUAUUUUAGGGGCUUGAUGCUCUUAAUAUUAUUCAUUCCGCUCAUAAAUUUCAAGUGGAGAGUGGAGAAGAAAGAGCAUCGUGAUUGUCACGGUACCCUUACUUAAAAUUUGUUCGAUUAGGUUUUUUUACGUAGUUUGCGCUUGGUCAUCUAGGUAGGCCUUCAUUAUAUUAACCCACUCGCAUGUCUUCAGCCACUCUUGUAAUUUCAUUAGGGCUGUCAAAAAAGUCCGAAAAAUCCGAUAUCCGUCCGAAAAAUCCGCAUUCGUAUCCGAGAUAAAGCGGAUAUUAUCCGUAUCCGAGACAAAGCGGAUAUUAUCCGCAUCCGAAUCCGACAAUUCCGGAUACGGAUACAGGCAUAUUUGUAUCCGAUAAUAUCCGAAUCCGAAAUUAAAUAUAUAUAUGAUAUUAAAUAUUAUAUAUGUAUAUUAUUAGUAUUAUUCAAUAACUAUAUAAUGUGUGUAUUUAUAUAUGUAUACAUAAAAUAAUAUAUUUAUAUAAAUUUUGUAUAAUUUUAAAAUAUUAUAGACAUAUAUCAUAAUUUUAUUUGAGUUUGAUAUUCUAAAGAUAACAAAUUUAUAUUGAAAGAUAAAUAAGAAUUAAUUUUUGAAUUAAUAUAAACUUUAUUUAAUGAUUUUAAUUUUUUUACUCAGUUUUUAAAAAUUAAACUUUAAUUUUUACUAUUUUUUAUGAUUUUUUAGAAAUUUUAAUAAAAAAAUAAAAUUUCUGAUUAAAAAUCAGAUUCGGAUCCGGAUAUUAUCCGAAUCUGGAUAAUAUCCAUCGGAUCCGGAUUCGGAUAUCAUCCUUUAAAAUAUUUCGGAUUCGGAUCCGGAUACGGAUAUGGAUUUUCGGAUUCGGAUCCGGAUACAGGCAGAUCCGUAUCCGAAUUAUCCGUUUGACACCCCUAAAUUUCAUAUUAAACAAAUUUAAAUUUCUUACAUAAAUUUGUAAAAAUAAUAAAUUUUUUCUUAUUUAUGAUAUUAAUAAAUCUCUUACUCUCUUAUUACUGUAUUCAACUAAUUAUUUUUUCCUAACAGUUAUAAAUGUAUCACAUCAGUUAUGAAAUUUAAAACAAAUAUGUCCAAUUUUUUCGAGAAAGAUGGUUGUAUAAUUUUUAAUUUAAAAUUUUAAUUAUUUUUAUUUUCAAUAUAAUUUACAACUAAAUUUUUUUUAUUAUAAUUUCACUGCUUCAUAUUUGUAAUAAAAUUAAAUAUAUCAUAAAUACACUUUUUUCUAUAUAUAUGCUAACCUCUAGAGAUGUUAAAGAUCAUCCCAAACAAAAUUUGAAAGCGAAAAUGAAAAUGAAAAAUUCCGUACUCUGUUUUUUCACCAUCAGUGUGAUGCUCAUCUUCUUGCAGUUGCAGCACCACCUGGUGGCUUCUUCAUUGAGCCCCAGCUUGCAGAAACUUGCGUUGUUCGACUUUAAACAAACCUUUUCAAUCAGUAAUGAUCCUAAUAGCUGGAUAUGCUCCUAUUAUUCCGUCGAAGACGAAGAGUUUUACGAAAUUCCUUCUCGGCCAAAGACAAAGAAUUGGAGCAUGAGUUCUGAUCACUGCACAUGGGAUGGAGUUAGCUGCGACGACAAGACAGGGGAUGUUAUCGGACUGGAUUUAACUUGCAGUCAGCUGCAAGGAGCCAUUCUUCCUAACAACACUCUCUUCCAGCUCUCUCAUCUCCGCUUCCUCAAUCUUUCUCAAAACGACUUUUCCCAUUCCAACCAGUUCCCUCAGGAAUUUGGUUUCUUUGCAAAAGGUUUGAAGCAUCUCAACCUCUCUUAUACUGGAUUAUCAGGGAGAGUUCCCUUGGGAAUCUCUCAUUUGCAGAAACUGGUCUCACUUGAUCUCAGUUACAACUCUGAAGCUGAACUUAAAGAAGAAGUGUUUAAAUCAAUGUUGCAGAAUUUAACUCAUCUCAGAGUGCUUAAUCUUAAUUACGCUAACAUCUCCUCUGUUUUGCCCGUGAAUAUCUCUGCUUCUUUAAGAGUUCUUCAAUUGUGGGGUACUGGUAUAGACGGAGUAGUACCCCAAGAGGUUUUCCACCUUCCCAACUUGGAAUCACUUGAUUUAUCAAGUAAUUACGACCUGAGAGCUACAUUACCCAAAGUUAAGUGGGGAAGUAAUGCUACUCUCCAACACCUUGUUCUUAAAUACAUCAACAUAGAUGGAGGUAUACCUGAUUCAAUAGGCUUUUUGGAGUCGUUGGGCAGUUUGGAUCUGAGCCGUUGUAAUUUGUCUGGGCCGAUUCCAAGAUCCAUCGGGCACCUCAUUCAACUUACUACAUUGGUCCUCUCUGAAAAUAAUCUCAAUGGCCCAAUUCUAACUUUUCUUACAGACCUUAAAGACUUGAGAUAUAUCUCCCUUGAGCGUAACAAUUUUACGGGUUCGUUUCCCUCUUUUCUUGCCCACUCCAGUAAACUAGUUGUGAUGUAUCUUGAUAGUAAUAGCUUUACUGGAUCCCUACCCAGUUGGUUGUUUCACCCUCCAUCGUUAGAGACCUUGUAUCUGCAUAAUAACGCAUUCACGGGUCAACUACAUGAAUUUCAUUCUUCUCACUCACGGCUGCAAUCUUUUUGGUGUAACAACAAUUUACUCUACGGAUCCAUUCCACAUUCAUUUUCUCAACUUGUGAAUCUCACAUCCCUAGAUUUGUCAUCAAACAAUUUCAGCGGGGUUUUGGAUUUGGAAAUGUUUUCAGGCCUCAAAUUUCUAAGAAGUCUUGAUCUUUCUCAUAACAGUCUGUCAGUGAGAAGUACAAUCAUGUCUACUCUCCCUCCUAAACUUAACCACUUGGGCUUGUCAUCUUGCAACAUGAAAGAGUUUCCUCACUUUUCAAGAGAUGCAAACAUCUCCAUGGAUUUUAUAGACCUAUCAAACAAUAAAAUUGAAGGGGAAAUUCCACACUGGAUUGGGUCGCUGGGGAGGUACUCUGACACUUACAGCUCCUAUCUGAAUCUUUCUCACAACAAACUAAUAGGCGGUCUUGAGCAACUGCCUUGGGGUUAUAUUACUUAUCUUGAUCUCCAAUACAAUAAGCUGGAUGGAUCGUUGCCCACCUUGAUGUGUAGUUCCACCUCUCUUCAUAUUCUAAAUCUGUCUCACAACAAAUUGAGUGGUGUACUACCCAGUUGUCCUCCACAUAGGAAUAUUCUUUCAGUGUUGGAUCUGCGGAGGAAUAAAAUUCAAGGAAACAUUCCAGCAACCUUGUCAAAUUUCUAUAAUCUGGAAACCAUUAAUUUGAAUGGAAACCAAUUAGAAGGAGGCAUUCCUUCUUCUUUUGCUGAAUUUGAUUCAUUAGCCGUUCUUGAUCUUGGAAAUAAUCAGAUAAAUGAUACAUUCCCCCGGUGUUUGGAAGCUCUUCCAAAUCUCCAAGUUCUUGUUCUCAAAUCAAACAAGUUUUAUGGUCUUAUAAACACGAGUUCUCAGGUUGUACACCCAUUUCCUAGCUUGAGAAUCAUUGAUCUUUCGUACAACAAGUUUUCAGGUGCACUGCCAGAAAAAUAUUUCAGAAACUUCAAGGCUAUGAUGAAUGGUGAAGUGAAUAAGGUAAAUCGUAGUUAUAUGGAGCAGGAGGAUUAUUACAGGGAUUCCACAGCUCUAGUGAUUAAAGGCAUGGAGAUUGAUUUAGAAAGAAUUUUGACUGUGUUCACAACUAUUGAUGUAUCAAAGAACAAUUUUGAUGGGGAGAUAGCUGAAUACUUUGGAAAUCUUGUAUCACUCAGAUUUCUUAAUCUUUCUCACAAUUAUCUCACAGGCCACAUACCACGCUCGAUUGGAAAAUUGACUGUGCUGGAGUCACUAGACCUCUCAUCCAACCAACUUAAAGGAGAAAUUCCUCCGCAGCUCACUAGUGUAUAUUCACUUGCAGUUCUCAAUCUGUCUUGCAACCAACUUAGAGGACGUAUUCCAGAAGGGUGGCAAUUCGAUACGUUUGAAAACAGCAGCUACGCUGGUAACUUUGGGCUGUGCGGACAUCCCUUGUCGAAAAAGUGUGAAUCUUAUGUUAAAACACAAGAAGAAGACGAAGAAGAUGAGGAUGAAUGUCACUUUUUCAGUGGUUUUACUUGGGAAGCGGUGGUGAUUGGAUAUGGGUGUGGAGUGGUGCCUGCAUUUAUUAUUGGGUACCUGAUGUUGCUGGCACAGAAACCAAAAUGGUUUGCUGGAAUCAUUGGCAGGGAAUUGGGCCUGAAGAUGAGGAGGAUGGAGAUUAGAAUGCGAUAACUAAAGGUUUGCUGUAAUCUGUAUCCCAUUCCCAGGUCUUGAAUAUUCUGUGAUAAUAUAGUAAUAUCUGGUCUCAUAUAAUUCUAUAUUUGCACCUGUAGACGUUUACAGAUUGGAGAGGCAUGAACAUUUUGGCAUGCAAGUUGAUGGGAAAAGCAGGAUUCAAAUGCAUUGGAAUCAACAACUGCGGUGUUGUAGGCAGCCAAGUUAAUAAACCACUACUUCAGCUGUUUUGCAUCUUCUGUGAUUUUAAAUUUUACAUUUUACAAUAUAAGUCAAAAGAUACAAGUUCAAUAUACAAGUUUUGUUUUGUUUAGUUCCAGCCUAUAAACACUUCAGUAGAUACCAGAGGAGAAAUGGAUACAAUCAAUGUCGGAAUUGGUCUUUAUAGUUGAAACAAAGACUACCAGAUCAUUACCAAUAUCAACUAGGCAUGUUGUUUAACGGGGAACUCAUAACUGGACAAUAAUUUUAAUAAUUUAGAAUUUGUGUAAUUUAUUACUGGUCUAAAGGACACGGGAUGGGUUUGCAAUAGUUAUUUGGAAACAGCUUGCUUAGAUAAAUGGACAGUGUUUUAUAAUAAUAGAGUCCGGGGCCUAUCAAGUGAUUGUUAGAGCAAUUUAUCUACUGUUUUUUAUAGCGGAAAAACAUAAACACUUGGUUUUUUAGUGCAUGCAGAGGGUCCAUCAGUCCAUCCGCAAUUUACACACUCAUUAUUCCAGGAUUCUCUGUUUCAUGGUAUUCUGCUGUGUAAAGAACAAUCACUUGUCAGGACCACCUCCCAUAAUCACAAGAGAUUCUAUAGGAAAAGAAGCAACAGACAUGGUUGGAUUGUUUGUUUUCUGUAUUCUUCUGCUAAAAGGCUACCCUUUUAAAGUCUCUUUUAUAUAUAAAGAUACAAAAAAAAAAAAAAAAAUCAUACUAAUAAAGAUUCUUUUUGGCUCCUCCAGAACUGGCCAGUUUUUCCUUAACUUUGCUUCUCCCACAUAAGACUAUAAGAAUAUUACAAUGAAAUAGUUGAUUAUCGUUGAACUUGCCAAUCUGUUGACUUGGUAAUUUGAAUUUGAUAAGCUCUGAAUUGUAAGUAACGAGGAACAAGAUGACAUGAUGGUAAAUAGAAAAUACAAGAUGUCCAUCAACAUAGCAAAGAAAUAUUUUUCAGCCGGACGACAUAUCAGGAUGUUCAUUACUAAAACAUGUUUGCUGAUGCUUUAUAAUGUACAAUUUACAAUAUAUCACAGGUUGUAAUAUACACUACUAGAUGAUUUUAUGGCCUGUUUAUCCUUAAUCGCUAUCAUGAACUAAUGAAAAUUUAUAAAAGUGGAUCACAUUUGCAGUGAUGCCGCUAUUUUUCCUGAAUUUCCCUAGUUGUGAAGAUUCCCUAGUUGUGAAGAUUGUCUAAAUCAUGUUAGAGUCGCUGCCAUCAGUGAAUGCAUUCAAUGGCUUACUGAAACUGGUAGAGAUACUAAAUUGCAAGAUGACAGAGUGUCCAUGCGUCAUUUUAAGGAUCAAGAUGUGUAGCUGUGACUUGUAUUUUAAAAUUGCAAGAUGUUUUACAAUGGUAGCAGAGGAGGGCUGGGGAUUUAUUGGGUCAGUUCGAAGCACACAAGUAGAAUUGGUUGUGGCAGAGCAAGAAGCUGAGCACGACCAUAAGAAUUUGAACUCUGAGGCUAAUUUGACUCUACUUGUACAAGUUAAUAUAUGAUGGCACAAGUUAAUAUAUGAUGGCAGCAAAGGAGUUUCUUACAUGCGCCAGUUUACAGUUCUUAGAAACAUCUUAUUAUGCUUAUUUGUACUAAACAGAUAUUAGUAGUCCACCAGAAACAAGGAGAUUUGAUAUAUCCCGGACUCUGAGGCCGGUGACAGUCUAUGAGAGGGCAUGUAAUCGAUGGAACAAGGAGGAUUCAGAUACAUUGGAUUCAUUAACAGAACUUCUUCAGAGCCGGAGUCACUUCCAGAUGCUCUCUUCUGGUAGAUAUCUAUUGGAGAAGUAAAAACAUCUCAUAAUCAUCAUUCAGCACUUGCUCUGAGUUUGUUGAUCAACCAUGCGAUGUUGAAGGCAGCUCUUAUCUUAUCUGCAAUCAAGUUAAUGAACCACCACCUCAGUUGUUAAGCAUCUUUCACCAUUUUACAUUUUACAACUCACAAUAAAAGAUUACAUGUGUAUUAAUCUGAUCAUCAUUUGUUUGAUCAAUAUAGAAGUUCGGCUCUGUUUACUUCUAUCCCUGGCUCUUCAUUUCUAGAACAUUGUUGAUACUUUUUAUUGAAUGGUUAAGAAUAUUCCAUAGAUUUUUAUAUUCAGUGCUAGAUGAUUUUAUGUCCUGUUUUCAUUCCAUUCAUGAACUAAUUAAAAAUUUGAAAGUGAUGCCCACCUUUCUGGACCUGCAUUCCAUGACCACAAACUCCAAUUCUGCCCAAAAAUUGCAGCUGUUUCGUAAUAUUUUUCUACGUGUUCUUUUGUUUGGACUUGUUUGCUGGACCAUGCAUAUUGUUUUGAUACAAACAUCUUUGUUGAUGUUAACACUCAUUGUUAGUAGCCCAUUCUUUACGGCAGACAUUGAAUUGGAUUUACUUGAAGAAAUGAAGGUUUAAGAAAGUUCAGAGCAAUUUGUUGAUUAUUUCCUUCCCUAGAAACUGCACUCCAGCAUCAAAGUACCUUUCAAAGACUCUACACAUAAUCUCUUGAUUAUCAAAGACUUGGUCUUGCAUAUACUGAUAUACACUGAAUAUAGGUUUCUUUCAUUUCCUUGAAAUUGCAUUUUUCGAAGUAACUCUCCAGACUCAUUCCCGUCACUUCUCAAAGUCUUAGUCCUCAUCAAUACAUUCACAUAAUAUCACACCAAUUUGCUCAUGCUCAGAUGGGCUUUUCUUACAAACCACAUAUGUUCACUUCUCAGAGUCUUAGUCCUCGUCAAUGUAUAGAGAUAAUAUCUCACCAUUUGCUAGUGCUACAAAUCAGUUUCUCCUACAACCACACAUAAUCGGAGAAAAGUCUGUCAAGUGUCAAGUGGACUUGAAAGACCCUUCUGCAUGGAUUAUUGUAUGUCAUGAAUGCCUUCUGAUAUCCCUGAAAGUGCAAGCAAGUUAUAAAAGUAGCUGGGCAGACUCUUUCUCAUCAAUACAUUCACAUUCAAAGCGGGCGUUGAUAUGCCUCCCUAAUUUUCUAAUGCCCUAGACGGAAUUCUAUUACAAUCCACAUAUGAUGGGUAGCGAUCAUCAAUUCAAAGAAGACACUAUCAGCAGCUUGCAGGAAAUGACCCCUCUGCAUGGAUUAUCGAAGAAAGAAACUUAUACCUAUAAAGCUGUAGAAAACCAAUGGUAAGCAUAACUGCAUAUAAGAUACAAAACUAAAUUUAAUACAAGACUCGUUCUGAGCAUUGGAAAAUAUGCUUUUAUUGCAGCCAAUGUAUUAGUGAAAAGAAUUAAAUUUAAAUUAAUUGUAGACUGCAAAUAUAAGAUUAGGAGAGUUUCUACAACCCACAAAUUAGUAGACAGACUAAUAUGAUUAGUUGAGACCAUCAAUCUGGAGAAACUGUUUCUACAAUGACCCAUCUGUAUGAAUUAUUGAAGAAAGAAACUUAUACCUACAAUGUAAAGGAAAUAAUCACGAGUAUAUUGCAUUUUUAAUCCAAAUUGUAUAUGAUUCUAUCUGUGCUACUGAUAGUAAAUAAUAAAUCUACAACGGGCCUUGCAGUUAAUCAAGGUAUUUAACUCUACCUUUCUACAUUGUUGAAUAGUUUGAAUAAAAUAAUUGUAAUAAAUUUUUUGCUGGAUGCUGUGUGAGUUUACCAGAGCUUAUCUUGGUGAGAAGUCUGAGUACAAGGCAAUGAGCAGGAAACAACAUAGGGAGUUUACAACUAGAAGUAUCUAUUCUCCCCUAGUCUUUUUGUGAACAUCAAGAGGCCAUUCAUUUUGCUCACAAACCAGUUAAAAAUGGCAGGACUACACAUAAUGAAUCACGCAGUCACUUUAUGUGAGAAAAGAAAAAUGUCAGGACAGCAGCUCAAACGUUUAAAAAACUUCAUUAAUUAUUUUCUUUUAUUGAAACCACACUCAUCCAUCAAAGUAGCUCUCAAAGACUAAUUUCCAUCACCUUUUGAUUCUCAAAGUCUUCUUCUUCGUCUUUUACUGCUCCUAAAGUUCUUCCAUUGCAAGCCACAUAUUAGUAGACAUACUACAUCAACUCUGUGGAAAGAAACAAUCUAUACUUGAUCUUGAUGUACAAUGUUAUGAUGUAAAUGUAUAAUAUCAAAAUUAGGAAUAGUAGUCACGCGCUAAUUAAUAACCCUCUGCAGGGGUUAUUAAAGAAAGCAACUUAUAGUUUAAGUUGCUGAACAUUUGUGUGUGCCAAAUUUAAUUUCACACAUCAUUACUAGAUUUACACAUGGUAUUAGACAUCAGUACUAGUAUAAGAUGUUAAUCAAGUUUUAUAAUUUCUUUUAUUUCAGAUAACAAGUUUUUUUUUUUGUGGAAUUAAUUAUUUAUAUCAUGCAUUUGAGCUUUAAAAUUAGCUCUACAUAAAAGUUGGUCUAUUGCAGUAGACACUAAAAUGAUUUCGCUCAAAGAAACAAUGAUGUAUAUGAAGAUUUUCAGAACUGAAUUUCUUUCUAUUUCUAAAAAUUGCAUUCAAGAACCGAAAGUAGCUCACAAAGACUCAUUACAUCAUCUUUCAAUUCUCAUUGUCUUGGUCUUUGUCUUCUACUGCUCAAAAUUCUAUUACAGCCCACAUAUCAGUAUCAUAUACCUAAUCAUAAAUAGUAUUUAAUAUUUAACACAAUUGAAGAUUUGUCUCAGAGACUUACUUCCAUCACCUUAUGGUUCUCAAAGUCUUCGUCUUCUAAUGCUCCAAAAGUUCUAUUAGUUCAGGCCACAUAUUAGUAAACAGACUACAAUUCAUCCAAAAUGACCCCUCUUAUUGGACACUUUGAACACCUCUAUCUGUAUAUGCAUUGGAGAAGAAUUAUCAGCUAGUUAAAAUAACCUCUUCGCAUCAACUCUAUCGAAAGAAGCAAUUCAUACCUAAAGUACAAUGUUUGGAUAAAAUCAGGAAUAGCAACUGCACGCUAAUUUUUUAGUUGAAGCAGGCUACCUUGGUGUAAUUCAGUGAACAUCCCCGUAAUUUCUUGACAGGCCACAAUUAAGGAAGUUCACAGAAUUAAAUUCCAGAAGUAGCUCCCUGAGACAGAUUUGCAUCAUCUUUCCAUCCUCAAAGUUCUUUACACUUAUAUUAUAUUUCAUGUUUUAUUGUAAUGAACAUAGCAGUUUCCUGUUCAGUAAUAUUCCAGGCUCAGGUUCUUCAUUCCUAGUCUCUGUUACAUGUUUGCCACUAAAACGUAUUGAACAGUUAUUAGUUUAUGAUUGUAUUCCAUCUUGAAAGGAGAUCUCAAAGACUCAUUCCCAUAAUCUUAAGAAUCUCAAGUCUUGAUGAACUUGGCCUUCAUCAUAUUUGUACUCUUGUAAUUCCAUAUUAAUGAAGUUUAAAUAUUUAUUUCAAAAAAAAAUGAAGUUUAAAUAUUAAAAUUUUUAAUUUUAGUAAAUUUGUAAAAAUAGUAAAAUUUGUCUUAUUUAUAAUAUUAAUAAAUCUCUUACUUUCUCGUUACUGUAUUCAACUUAAUAAUUCUUACAAACACUUGUAAGUGCAUCACAUAAGUUAUGUAAAUUCAGAAUAAAUUAUGUCCGAUUUCUUUAAGAGAGAUUGUUAUAUUGUUUUUACUUUAAAAAUUGAAUUAUCUUUUAUUUUUAAUAUAAUUUACAACUAAAAAAUAUUUAAUAUAUUUUCUUAUUUUUGUAAUAUGACUAAACAUAUCUUAAAUACACCUUUUUCCUAUAUAUAUAUAUAUAUACAUCUAUUAUAUUUUUUAUGAAAUAUAAUUACAAAUUUUGAUUAUUAAACCGAAAACGAAGUUAUACAAUUUUUUUAUUUCAAAGAUCAUCUAAUAUAUCAUGUAAUAUCUCAACAUGAUUCUAUAACAGAAUAAUAAUCAUUCAGAAUUAUUCUGUUGUAGAAUCAGUUUCGAAACUAUACUUUUUUUUAUCAAAUUUUAAGUGUUAAAUUACUUAAAAUAGAUAUAUUUUAUAGUAUUCUAUAUUAGAAUCACGUUUUAUAUGUAUUUUAUAGCAGAAUUUAUAAUAAAAUUGAUGAUUUAUAAUGCCGCACUAUGUAACUUCAUAUAAAGAGUCCCUUUCUGGAAUGUUGGCAUAUAUAUAUACUAGCUUAAAACCCGUGCAAUGCACGGGCGGUUAUGAUAUUUAUUAUUUUAUCGUAUAUAUUCCAGAUUUAACUAAUUUUAUUGAAAUUAAAAUUGUGAUAGAAUAAUGUGAUUAAAUAAAACAUUUAUUUAACGACUGAAAAAUUCUUAAUAGUUAAAUCCGUCAAAUAGCUAAUUUAAAAUUAAGUCAAAUAUAUAUUUUAAUAAAAAUGUUAAAAUAUAUUAUAUUUUUUAUAUGUUAUAAUUCAAGAAGACACAUAAACCUAGAUAUAAACAACCCAAUCAACCUUUUAAUAUUUUGUUAUUAAUAAUAUAGAACAAAUCCUUAAAAUAGAAUCAGAUAAGUAUAAAACAUAUUGUAAGCUAAAGGGAAGUGUACUGAUCCAUAACACUAACCUAAUUUAUUUAUUUUUAAACAGCACUAACCUAAUUUAUAAAUUAAGGAGGUCCAUGGAUCAAAUAUGAACCGGUUUAUAAAACUCGACCGACCAACUGAACUUUUCAGUUUAUGUUUUAAUAGUACAAUAAUAUAUAGUAUAGUAUAGAUUUGUAAUUUUAACUUUUAAAUUUAGAUCAGUAGAGCAUUUAAAGUAACGUUAAUAUAUUUUGAUCGACAAAUAUCGCCAUUUAUUUAAUAAUAUUGUUAUAUUUUUAUAUAUAUGUCGCCCGUGUUAAUUGUAGUAGAUCAAUUUUUUCAGUCAGUAAAUCUUAAAAAAAAAAUGUGUUUUAGUUAAAAAGGUAAUUACUAUUGCUCGAUGUUAUUUUAGAAAAUUGUGUUUUUUUAGUUAGAAAAUAUAAAAAAGAUAACAUAUUCUAGUUUAAAAGAAUAUUUAGUUAUAUAGAUAGGCCUGUAUUUCGGCCCAAAGUUAAAAAGAAUACUCCCUCCGUCCCCUCCAAUUCUUAUCGUUUGGAAUGGAGUGCUCGGCACGCAUUUUAAGACUCAUAUAAAGUAUAGUUCCAUAACUCAUUUUCAUAAUUCUCUUUUUCUGAAUAAAAAUUUAAACAUUACAUUUUUAUUUAAAAAAAGAAAAUUUUAAAAAUAAGUUAUGGAACUAUACUUUAUAUAAGCCUUAAAAUGCGUGCCGAGCACUCCAAUCCAAAUGAUAAGAAUUGGAAGAGACAGAGGGAGUAAUUAGUUAUGUCGAUAGACCCGUAUUCGGUCCAAUUACUUACAUACCAUAACUUUCAAUUUUCGAUUUUAAUAAUAUAGUAAACCUUAAAAAAGAUAAUGUAUUUUAGUUAAAAAGGUAAUAACUAUAUUGUUCGAUGUUAUUUUAUAAAAUUGAGUUUUUUAGUUAGAAAAUAUAAAAAAGAUAACAUAUUAUAGUUAAAAAGAAUAAUUAGUUAUAUAAAUAGGCCUUAUUUCGGCCUAAAGUUAAAAAUAAUAAUUGGUUAUAUAGAUAGGCCCGUAUUUCGGCCCAAAUUUUGACCGAUCAAACUUUCAAUGUUCGUAAUUACUGUUGCUCGAUGUUAUUUUAGAAAAUUGAGUUUUUUUAGUUAGAAACUUUAAAAAAGAUAACAUAUUCUGGUUUAAAAGAAUAAUUAGGUAUAUCGAUAGGCCUGUAUUUCGAUUUUCGGCCCAAAGUUAAUAAGAAUUAUUAGUUAUGUCGAUAGGCCCGUAUUCGGUCGAAUUACCGACAUACCAAACUUUCAAUUUUUUAUUUUAAUAGUAUAGUGAACCUUAAAAAAGAUAACGUAUUUUAGUUAAAAAGGUAAUAACUAUAUUGUUCGAUGUUAUUUUAGAAAAUUGAGUUUUUCUAGUUAAAAAAUAUAAAAAAGAUAACAUAUUAUAAUUAAAAAAAUAAUUAGUUAUAUAAAUAGGCCUUAUUUCAGCCCAAAGUUAAAAAUAAUAAUUAGUUAUAUAGAUAGUCCCGUAUUUCGGCCGAAAUAUCGACCGAUCAAACUUUCAAUGUUUCAGUUUUAAAAAUAUAGUAUAGCUUUCGGCCCAAAGUUAAAAGAAUAAUUAGUUCUACAGAUAAGCCCGUACUUCGGCCCAAGUACCGACCGACCGACCAAACUUUUAAUGUUUCGGCUUUAAUAGUACUAACUUAUAGCCCGUGCAAGGCAUGGGAGCUUUUUAGUAAUUUAUAAACUUUUUAAAUAUAUUUUAAAUUAUGUGAAAAUUUUUAAUUUACAAAUAAUAAAUUAAAAUUUUCAAUUAAAUAAAAUUUGAAAUUAUGAUUUGUUUGCAAUUCCGAACUUUUGUAAAAAUAUAUAAUUUUUAUAUGAUGUUGGUACAAUUUAAAAUUUUAUCUUAAAUUUUAGUUGAAUCUAAUACAAAAUAUUAGUUUCCAUGAUUUAUUAGUUAUGAAUAACUUAAGCUAACGUAUUCGUCUUUAAUAAUAAAAAUAUUUAAUAGCAUGAGGUAAUGCAUAUUUGCAUAUAAUUUUUCAUUUUUCUUUUUUAAUAUAUAUACUUGAAUAAAAAUAUUUAUUUUAAAAAUAUUUUUAUGUUAAAUUAUUAAUCUUUAUAUAUAAAAUAUAUUCCCUACGGGCUACGUCCCAUCAUAUUAUUUAGAGUUUUUUUUUUGGGAUGUACCAUCAAAUUCUUUACAUUUCAAAACUUACCAAAUAGGUCCCACCACUACACAACUUUUCCUACCUUUUCACACUACUUUUACUCCUUUUUCACAAUACCUUUACUCUACUAUCUUCUUUUUAUACAUUAAAAAUUAAUAGGUCCCACUACUUACCCAUUUUUCUUUUUAUUUUCCACUACUUUGUACAUAUAUCUUCACCUCCGUGCCCAAACCAAACAUAAAGAUUGGCUGGGACGGAAGGAGUAUUCAUUAAUAAUUUGAAUAACAUGCAUGCAAAUAGAAGGCAUAACAUGUCUGGAUUAGGAAAAUUUGUUAAAAAUAUGCGUUAUAUUUUUCACACUUGUUUCUAAUUUGGAUAAAAAUAUUUUUGUGAUCGUGCAAUUUGUAUGAUUCUACAAAUAAAAAUGGGAAUAUUUAUUUUAGAUUAAAAUAACAUAAACACGUGAAAGAAAUAAUUUGUUUUGGAUUCAGAAAAGAAGAUAUCAGUUGCCUAGCUGCCUUAUAAGUUCUAAUCUAACAGUGCUUAUUUGAUCAAUAUACGAUCUAACGGAUGAUAAGCUUUUGGACCAGAGGACCAUGCGACCAAAUUAUCUCCCUUACGCUUAUUAUAUAAUACUAGCUUAUAGCCCGUGCAAGGCACGGGAGCUUUUUAAUUAUUUAUAAAUUUUUUAAAUAUAUUUUAAAUGGUGUGAAAAAAUUAAUUUAUAAAUAAUAAAUUAAAAUUGUACAUAUCAUGCCAAAGUAUUAAAUUCUUUCUAUCAAAUUUUAAACCAACUCCUAUUAGAUUAUAUUUAUAAAAGUUCUAAUCUAACAGUGCUUAUUUGAUCAAUAUACGAUCUAACGGAUGAUAAGCUUUUGGACCAGAGGACCAUGCGACCAAAUUAUCUCCCUUACGCUUAUUAUAUAAUAUAGCUUAUAGCCCGUGCAAGGCACGGGUGCUUUUUAAUUAUUUAUAAACUUUUUAAAUAUAUUUUAAAUGGUGUGAAAAAAUUAAUUUAUAAAUAAUACAUUAAAAUUGUAUUCUCAAAAUGGUGUGAAAAAAUUUAAUUUAUAAAUGUUAAAUUAAAAUUGUAUGUAUCAAUGCCAAAGUAUUAAAUUCUUUCUAAAUUUUAAAUUAUUUUAAGUAGUGUGACGCCAACUCCUAUUAGAUUAUAUUUAUAAAUGUAUUUUAUAUUAGAAUUAUUAUAAUGUGAUUUAAAUAUUUUUCUAAAAAUUUUUAUGGUUCGAGAUUAAAAUUGAUAAACACAAUUUGUUUUGAAUUAAGAAGAUGAAUCAUAAACAUGCAAUAAGAUGGUAGAAUUUGCUUUGGAUUAAAAAAUUUUUUUUGUAUUUGUUCCUCACAUAAAUCGGGCUUAUUAAUUUUGAAAUAUAUUAGGUAAAAAUAAUUUUGUGACUGUGCGAUUUAUAUGAUUCUACAAAUAAAAUUGGUAGAAAAUAUUUAUUUUGGAUCAAAAAAAAUCAUAAACACGGGAAAUACUUAAUUUGUUUUGGAUUCAGAAAAGGAUUUAUAAACAUGCAAGUAGAUAUCAGUUGUGUUAUGGAACAAAAGUUAAUUUUGUUCUAAUCCAACGGUGCUUAUUUGUUCAAUAUACGAUCCGAUGGAUAAAAAUAAUCUUGUGACGGUGUGAUUUAUACGAUUCCACAAUUAAAAUUUGUAGGAAAUAUUUAUUUUGAAUUAAAAAAAAACAAAAACACAUGAAAGACAGAAUUUGUUUUGAAUUCAGAAAAAGAAUUAUAAACAUGCAAGUAGAUGUCAGUUUCCUUAUAGAACAGAAUUUAAUUUUGUUCUAAUCUAACGGUGCUUAUUUGUUCAAUAUACGAUCCAACGGCUUUUGGACCACAGGACCUUGCGACCAAAUUAUCUCCCUUACGCUUAUUAUAUAUAAGUAUAUAAUAAGUAUAUAAUAGUAUAGAUAUGCUAGUCUUAAAUAUAUUUUUUUCCUAUAUAUAUGCUAGCCUCUUGAGACGUGAUCAUCCCAAACAAAAAAAUUUAACGGAAAAAGAAAAUGAGGAAUUCCAUCCUCUGUUUUUCCACCAUCUGUUUGUUGCUCAUCUUCCUGCAGUUGCAGCACAACCUAGUGGCUUGUUCAUUAAGCCCCCACUUGCAGAAACUUGCCUUGUUCCAUUUUAACCAAACCUUAACAAUCAGUACUACUAGCUGGGAUUGCGAAUACGUUUCCUACGAAGAGAAUGCAGUGUAUGAAAUUCCUUCACGGGCAAAGACAAAGAAUUGGAGCAUGAGUUCUGAUCACUGCACAUGGGAUGGAGUUAGCUGCGACGACAAGACAGGGGACGUUAUCGGACUGGAUUUAAGUUGCAGUCAGCUGGAAGGAGCCAUUCUUCCUAACAGCGCUCUCUUCCAGCUCUCUCAUCUCCGCUUCCUCAAUCUUUCUCAAAACGACUUUUACCUCGCCAGUCAGUUCCCUCAGGAAUUUGGUUUCUUUGCAAAAGGUUUGACGCAUCUCAACCUCUCUAAUACUGGAUUAUCAGGGAGAGUUCCCUCGGGAAUCUCUCAUUUGUAUAAACUUGUCUCACUUGAUCUCAGUGACAACUCAGUCUCACUUGAUCUCAGUCAGAACUAUGAGGCUAAACUUGAAGAAGAAGUGUUUAAAUCAGUGUUGCAGAAUUUAACUCAUCUUGAAGUGCUUAAUCUUAAUGGAGUUAAGAUCUCCUCUGUUUUGCCCCUGAAUAUCUCUACUUCUUUAAGAGUUCUUCAAUUGAGGUAUACUUAUAUACACGGAGUAGUACCCCAAGAGGUUUUCCACCUUCCCAACUUGGAAUUACUUGAUUUAUCACUUAAUGACGACCUGAGAGCAACAUUACCCAAAGUUAAGUGGGGAAGUAAAGUUACUCUCCAACACCUUCAUCUUUCAUACAUCAACAUAGAUGGAGGUAUACCUGACUCAAUAGGCUUUUUGGAGUCAUUAGUCAGUUUGGAUUUGAGCAGCUGUAAUUUGUCUGGGCCUAUACCAAGAUCCAUUGGGCACCUCGUUCAACUUACUCGCUUGGACCUCUCUCAAAAUAUUCUCAAUGGCCCAGUUCCAACAUUUUUUACAGACCUUACAGACUUAAGAUAUAUCUCCCUUUGGCAAAACAAUUUCACUGGAUCCCUACCUCGUUCGUUGUUUCACCAUCCAUCCUUAGAGUCCUUGUCUCUGGAUAAUAAUGCAUUCACGGGUCAACUACAUGAAUUUGAUUCUUCUCGCUCACGGCUGCAAUCUUUUUCUUGUUCCAACAAUUCACUCUAUGGAUCCAUUCCACAUUCUUUUUCUCAGCUUGUGAAUCUCACUGUCCUAGAUUUGUCAUCAAACAAUUUCAGCGGGGUUUUGGAUUUGGAAAUGUUUUCAGGCCUCGAAUCUCUAAAACGUCUUCAUCUUUCUGAUAACAGUCUUUCAGUGAGAAGUACAAUUAUGGCCACUCUCCCUCCUAAUCUUUACUCCUUGGGCUUGUCAUCUUGCAACAUGAAAGAGUUCCCCCACUUUUCAAGAGAUGCAAACAUCUCCCUGAAUCUUAUAGACCUAUCAAACAAUAAAAUUGAAGGGGAAAUUCCACACUGGAUUGGGUCGGUGGGGGAUUUCUAUGGAAUCCCUUAUCUGAAUCUAUCUCACAACAAACUAAUAGGCGGUCUUGAGCAACUGCCUUGGGGUUAUAUUCAAUAUCUUGAUCUCCAAGACAACAAGCUGAAUGGCUCCUUGCCCACCUUGAUGUGUAAUUCCAGCUCUCUUGAGAUUCUAAAUCUCUCUCACAACAAUUUGAGUGGUGUACUCCCCAUUUGUCAUACAAAUUUGACUCAGCUUUCGGUGUUGGAUCUGCGGAGGAAUAAAAUUCAAGGAAUCAUUCCAGCAACCUUGUCAAAUUUCCGUUAUCUGGAAACUAUUAAUUUGAAUGGAAACCGCUUACAAGGAAGCAUUCCUUCUUCUUUUGCUGAAUUAGAUUCUUUAGCCGUCCUUGAUCUUGGAAAUAAUCAGAUAAAUGAUACAUUCCCCCUGUGUUUGGAAGCUCUUCCAAAACUCCAAGUUCUUGUUCUCAAAUCAAACAAGUUUCAUGGUAUAAUAAACCAGAGUUCUGAGACAAAACACCCAUUUCCUAGCUUAAGAAUCAUUGAUCUUUCGUACAAUGAGUUUUCAGGUGCACUGCCAGAAAAAUAUUUUAGAAACUUCAAGGCUAUGAUGAAUGCGGAAGUGAAUAAGAUAAAUCGUAGCUAUAUGGAGCAUCGGUAUUACAGUGAUUCCACAGCUCUGGUGAUUAAAGGCAUGGAUAUUGAUUUACAUAGAAUUUUGACUGUGUUCACAACUAUUGAUGUAUCAAAGAACAAUUUUGAUGGGGGGAUAGCUGAAUACUUUGGAAAUCUAGUAUCACUCAGAUUUCUUAAUCUUUCUCACAAUUAUCUCACAGGCCACAUACCAUGCUCGAUUGGAAAAUUGACUGUGCUGGAGUCACUAGACCUCUCAUCCAACCAACUUGAAGGAGAAAUACCUCAGCAGCUCACUAGUGUAUAUUCACUUGCAGUUCUAAAUCUGUCUUGCAACCAACUUAGAGGACGUAUUCCAGAAGGGUGGCAAUUCGAUACGUUUGAAAACAGCAGCUACGCUGGUAACUUUGGGCUGUGCGGACAUCCCUUGUCGAAAAAGUGUGAAUCUUAUGUUAGGACACAAGAAGAAGAUGACGAAGAUGAGGAUGAAUGUCACUUUUUCUGUGGUUUUACUUGGGAAGCGGUGGUGAUUGGAUAUGGGUGUGGAGUGGUGCCUGCAUUUAUCACUGGCUACCUGAUGUUGCUGGCACGGAAACCAAAAUGGUUUGCUGGAAUCAUUGGCAGGGAAUUGGGGCUCAAGAUCAGGAGGAUGGAGAUUAGAAUGCGAUACUAAAGGUUUGCUGUAAUCUGUAUCCCAUUCCCAGGUCUUGAAAAUUCUGUAAUAAUAUAUAGUAAUAUCUGCUCUCAUAUAAUUCUAUAUUUGCAGAUUCAGAUGGGACAAGCAGGAUCAGAUGCAUUGGAAUCAACCACUAGUACUUCAGCUGUUUUGUCAUUCUAAAUUUUACAUUUUACAAUAAAAGUCAAAAGAUACAAGUUAUGUAGUAUUGUUUUGUUCCAGCCUCAGGCUCUUCAUUUCUAAAACAUGUUUGCGGAUGCUUUACAAUGUACAAUUUACAAUAUAUCAAAGUUUUUAAUAUACACUACCAGAACUGGGUUACAUUGCAGUGUUGUCGCCAUUUUUCUGAAUUUCACUAGUUGGGAAGACUGUAUAAAUUAUGUUAGAGUCGCUGCUAUCAGUGAUCGCGUUCAACAACUUAUCUCAAACUGGUAAGAUUUACUAAAUUUUUAAUUUCACAAGCUGUUGAUAGAAUAGAAGAUGCCUCAGUUUAAGGAUCGAGAAUGUAUUAAUGAACUGUCCCAGCCCUGAGAAAUUCUCUUUGAUGGGGCUGCAGUUUCAAUAAAUCGCCUCUUGUACUCAGCCAUCAUACAGUGAACCACCGUCCGAUGGUCGAAAUUGGCGAAGCAUGAUGGCUUUAAAUCAGCCCAUAACCUGAUGGGGUGGCAUUUCUGUUCCCCAUUAGUACCAAUGCAGGGUGUCCCCUUCCAAAGCUACUCUGCAACAAUUUCCAACAUCUCGUAUUCACUUAACCCGUUCAGUAGACAACAAGGUUAGGAGCAAGAAUGAGUCGGUGUCUGGACAUGAGAUUAGGAAUACUAUUACCUCUGACUUCUGAGGCCCGUGACAGAUCGAAGAGGCAUGAAAGUUGGGGACAGGGGACGGCUGGUGCAUUGGAAUGAAAGUAAAAAACUUUUUCAGAGCCUGAUGCUCUCAAGGAUGCAGUCUAAUGAACAAGCGUAAUGAUGUCAUGUUAACUGUCAACCACCUAGUCAAAAUUACUUGAAAUGAUGAAAUUUAUGACAGUAAAUUUAUGAUGCUCUGAGUUUGUUGAUCAACCAAGCUAUGUUGUAGGCAGCUCUUAUCUGAUCUGCAAUCAAGUUAAUGAACCACUACCUCAGUUCAACAUUUUACAUUUUACAGCUCAGAAUAAAAGAUUACAUGUGUAUUAAUCUGAUCAUCAUUUGUUUGAUCAAUUUAGAAGUUCGGCUUUGUUUACUUCUAUCCCGGGCUCUUCAUUUCUAGAGCAUAUUUGUUGAUACUUUUUAUUGAACGGUUAAGAAUAUACCAUAGAUUUUUAUAUUCGGCGUAGAUGAUUUUAUGUCCUGAUUUCAUUCCAUUCAUGAACUAAUUAAAAAUUUGAAAGUGGGUCAUAUCUGGCAGUGAUGCCAGCCCUUCCUGACCUGCAUUUCAUGACCACAAACUCCAAUUCUGCCCAAAAAUUGCAGCUGUUUCGUAAUAUUUUUCUACGUGCUCUUUUGUUUGGACUUGUUUGCUGGACCAUGCAUAUGUUUUGAUACAUCUUUGUUGAUGUUAACACUCUUGUGUCAGUUACUGGACUCAUUGUUAGUAGCCCAUUCUUUACGGCAGACAUUGAAUUGGAUUUACUUGAAGAAAUGAAGGAUUAAGAAAGUUCAGAACAAUUUGUUGAUUAUUUCCUUCCCUAGAAACUGCACUCCAGCAUCAAAGUACCUUUCAAAGACUCCAGACAUCAUCUCUUGAUUAUCAAAGACUUGGUCUUGCAUAUACUGAUAUACCGUGAAUAUAGGUUUCUUUCAUUUCCUUGAAAUUGCAUUUUUUGAAGUAGCUUUCCAGACUCAUUCCCGUCACUUCUCAAAGUCUUAUUCCCCAUCAAUACAUACACAUAAUAUCACACCAAUUUGCUCAUGCUCAGAUGGGCUUUUCUUACAAACCACACAUGUUCACUUCUCAUAGUCUUAGUCCUCGUUAAUAUAUACAGAUAAUAUCCCACCAAUUUGCUGGUGCUACAAAUGGGCUUCUCCUACAAGUCUACAACUACACAUAAUCGGAGAAAAGUCUGUCAAAUGGAUCUUGAAAGACCCUUCUGCAUUGAUUAUCAAAGUAUAUUAUCUGUUAACAUAAAUGUAUUUUAUCAAAGUACUCUCUAAAUAAAAACUAGUAAUAGCAGUUACACAGUAAAAAUUUUUCCUCAAACAAUUACCACCUCAAAUGAGAUAGGCAACCUUAGAUUCUCCAAAAGUGCUUAUAUUGCAACCCUUGUGUAAUGACUAAUAACAGUCAUGAUUAGUAGACAGACCAUAAUUGCGAUGGUUCGAACUUUUUUACUUGAGCUGGAGAGAAGACUUUGAACUGCAGUGUUAGCUAGGAGUUUUUGCACCGUUCCUUUCCCUGUCUUGAAAUUGCAUUUCAGCUCCAAAAGUAGAUUUCAGAGACUGAUUCAUGCCAUCUUUUAAUUUUCAAUGGCAUAGUCGCGAUGACACUCUCACUUCUCACAUUGGAAAACUUUUACCAACACAAUGAAAUUUAUAAGAGUAAAAUGCAAAGCGGUGGUUAAAUUUAUAAGAGUUCUAUCGAAGUCUAGUUUACCUAAAUAACUGCAAAAUGGUUAGGGUUGUUCACGAACCGAGCCGAGCCGAGUUUUGACCGAACCGAGCCAAGCUUUAAUUUUUUUUCUGACGAGCCGAGCCGGGCCGAGCUUUUUUAUCGAACAAAAUUUGUGUUCAAGCUCGGCUCGUUAACUAACGAGCCGAACACGAGCUUGUUCGCGAACAAAUACAAGCCGAACCGAGUAGAAUCGAGUCGAGCCGAGCCAGAAAAAAAAUAAGAACAAACCGCUAGUUGACUCUUAAAAUAGCUAACCAAAUAAUUUUAUUUUUUUUUAAACUUUGUUUAUAUCACUAAAAUGUAUAUAUGUUAACAUCCAUACGGUUGGAUCGGUAAGAAAUAUUUUUUAAAAUAUUGAAACACUAAAUUAGGAUUAAACACUAGUUAGCAGUACUAUUUAACCUUCUACUUGACUGUUAAAAUAGCAAACCAUAUAAAAUUAUUAUUUUCCGAAAUUUUGGUUACAUCACUGAAAUAUAUAUAUAUUAAUUAUAUGUUGAAUUCUGAGUUCAAUAACAUAUAUAAAUUAUAAAAAAAACCCCGAAAAUAUUACAUUUUUUCGAGCUUUAACGAGCCGAGCUCGAGCCGAGCGAGCUCGAGUCGAGCUCGAGCCGAGCUCGAGCCGAACAUACUAAAAGCUCGGCUCGAGCUCGUUUACUUAACGAACAAUUUUUUGUGUUCGUCCUCGAGCUCGUUAACUUAACGAGCCGAGCCGAACGAGCUCUUAACGAGCCGAGCUCGAGCUUGUUCGCGAACAGCUCGGUUCGUUAAGCAGCCCUAAAAAUGGUGAAACAAACUAGGGCUUAGAAAAUGGUACAAUUUGCGGUUUUGUAUCUAUUGGGCAUCUAUUUUGGUGUGCUAGUCAACUUGUAUGGUUCUUAAAGUUUACAACUUGAAACAGUUAAUAUCAAAUGUCAAAGUGAAAAUAUGUGUAGUUUUAACUUCACAAUAUUUUCUUGGUGCGGGCUAUGUAAGUUAUCUUUUACAUGGUGAAUCAAGUUAUGAUACUCAGAAUCAAUUAUGUUUCACUUUCGUAUUUUCCACCUGGUCGUAAGAUUUGUAGUUUUCCUUCGCUAUUGUAAAGGUUGUGUUCUAUUAAGGGUGAUAUAUGCGCACCCUAAAUUAAUUUAUGCACACUUUACCUUCUGUUUCAUAUCAAAUUACCCUUGUCUUUUAUCAUUUCAACCAAAUAUUUUAUUAAUUCAAAGGGGUAAUUUAGUACAAACUAGAUGAAAGGUGUGCAUAAAUAAAUUUAGGGUGUGCAUAAAUCAGCACCCAAUGUAUUUAGUGAUUCCACUGAUGAUAAUGUUAAGCAAUUAACAGGUAUUAAAAUGCUUUCAUUAUAAUGCAACUUUAUACUCCCUUUAUCCCAUUUUAACUGAGGUAAAAAAAACAAUAUCUACACCCAUUAAAAAAAAUUCAAUUUUUAUAUCAAAUAAAAGUUUAGAUUCUAAAAUUUUAAUUGAUGAUAUAAAUUUUAUAAACAAUAAUUAUGUUUAUAUGUGAUUUUCUUAACAUUUCAAAAUACAUGUAAAAAGGUCAAAAGUAGUUAAAAUGGGACGGAGGGAGUAUAUUUUUAUUCAAACUCGAGUCUCCCGUGAGUGGAGCUCUUAAUAUCAUGCGAAGUUAAUAUUCUCCUAAAAUCUCAAAAUGUUAGAUAGAAUGACUUAUAAAAAAAUUGAAGAAAAGUGGAGUUUUAUUAUAAGUUUUAUCCGUGUUACAUACUUACAUUGAAUAUCUGGUAGUAACGCAAAAAAUUUGGUCUCCUCUAUGUAUUUUUGCUGGCUUGGUCGAAUCAGUUGGAUUGCUGGUAUUUGAAUAAUCUAAUUUUUUCAGAAAUAAGAAUUUAUUUCUUGAGAAAAGUACAUAAAACUACUAUACUUUUUUGGUCUCCUCUAUGUAUUGUUUUAUUUUAUAAGUCGUUUAAGGUAUUUUCACACAUAUUAAAAAACUUCAUUGUUGCAUAAAAAAGUAUUUAUUAGUCAUUUCUUUUUCAUUAUUAUCCUCAUUUAAUGUCUCUUUUCUCUCUUUUUCUAUUGACUCAUAAUAUUAAAUAAGGGUGAUAAAAGUCAUUAGAUAAUUUAAAUUAUUCUUGAAAAAAAAAAAAGAACGACCUAUAUUUAUGAAUAAUAAUAUUUUCUAAAAUGAACUAUAAAAAAACAGAUGGAGUACUGUAUAUCAAGUGGAGAAGCAAGACUAAAGUGCAGUACUCCUAAGCCCACAUUGUACGGCGGUAGUACAUUUGAUUUUAUUCGGGGAAAACCAUGUUUAUGGAUUAUCUCAUCUGAAAGACCCUAUCCAUCAUCUUCCGAUUCUCAGAGUCUUGGCCUUCCAUUCCAUGCACUGCUCUGCACGUGCUUCUGUUUGAGAUCAAAAUCACCUGCCUUAAAAAAUUUGUUUCUUUUGUAGUCUAAUCUCUGUCCCAAUCAAAUAUAUACCUUAACUGUGCACGUAUUUUGAGAUUUUAAUAAAAUUUUGUUGUAAAAUACUUUUUAAAAUUUUUUUUUUUGAAUAAAAAUUUAAACCUCAAAUUUUUAUUCAGUUAAGGAAAAUUUUAAAUAAUGUUUUGUAAUUAUACUUUAACGAAGCCUUAAAAAAUAUACCAAAAAACAGCGUAUACAAUUCAUCAGACGAGCAACCGCCAACAAGAAACACCACCGACAAUAAUAAACAAGAUUAGAAUGCAUAAUAUUCUGCAUUGGUCGAUAACUAUCAUUAUUAAUUUCUUCCUGCUGCACCACCGACAAUAAUAAACAAGAUUAGAAUGCAUAAUAUUCUGCAUUGAUCGAUAACUAUCAUUAUUAAUUUCUUCCUGCUGAGAAUUGAAACCACGCCCUCUGGCAAUUCCAAAAUGUUCCCUUUUAUAUUUAGCAAAAAAUAAUGAAUGGUGCUCCCAUUUUUUGACUAACCCAAAAACUCGAUGAUGGGCAAAAAUUGCACUAAUAUUAGAAUGAUGGUGUUUAGACAAGUUCUUCAUUUCAAAUUUUAAAUAUUGAAAUAAUUAGAAAUAUAAUAUAUAACUAUAUGACAAACACUCUAAUUCAGCAAGAAUCUUAUUUUUUGUAUCAAUUUUUCAAUAAUUUCAGGUGAAUGGUAAUUUAAUAUAUAAUCAAAUUUUAAAUAUUGUAUAGUUUUUGUUUUAUAUUUUAAUAAAUUUCAUAAUAGUGAGGAUAUGAGUACAUAUAUACAUCAACAGAAGGGUCGUUUGGGUAAACUUUAAAAAAGUGACUUCUUUCUUCAAAUAAAAAUGUGCACUAUAUUCCGUCAAAAAAAAUGUGCAGCAUUAGUAAGAGGUAAGUCUAGACUUAAAAGUGAUUAAAAUUUUUUAAGGAAAAGUAGAAGUUCUGAAAAUAAAAGUUAGAAAUUUUGGCUUCUUACAGGUGUUUCUGACUUUUUACAAAAUUAUAAGCCGACUUUCUUAGAAAAAGAAGGCGGAAGCUGGGGCAGCCAAACAAACACAUGAUAUGACUUGAUAUACAAAAAAAUUACAUUUAAAUUACGUUUAUAACACAAAUAAUCUCAAUUUAAAAAUGAUGAACAAAGAGAUAUGAGAUAUAUUGAAAAAUAAUUGAAAGCAACCCGUGUUUUGCACGGGUUAAAAAGCUAGUUCUAAUUAAAGGGAAAAAAGCCAUCGACUAAAAUUGAACACGGAUGGGAAUUAUAAGAAGCAUAAGCAAACAAACUUUUCUCUACAAUAAAAGGUGAUGGGUUGAAGUCAAGAAAACACCGAUUCAUCUUUGUACAAAGUUAAAAAUACUAACGGCUCUUUGCUUAUAGCACUACAAGAAAACUCAUUUUAAUGACAGAAAUUCUGUUAACAUGAUAAGGAUUUUCGUUGGUAAAUCACCGCCAAGGGAAUGAUAAUGAAAAUAAUUGGUUGGCAUAUAGUUGAUCGGGAAGUUCAUGCUAACGGAACAAAUUCGUUGCUAAAUUGGUUUCUUUUGAUAAAAGAUGAUGGGUUGAAGUCAAGAAAACAAACACAACACUUUUACAGAAAGUUAAAAAUACUAACCGCUCUGUGCUUAAAGAGUGGCAUAAGUAAGCAGUUCUCCGUGUGCUAGAAAUUCCUUCAUUUCUUGCUCUUCUAAGCCAACAACAGCUCUAAUACCAUCAUUCGCGGUAUCCAUCAGAGUGAUGACAUCAACCAUCGGAGUGUCCACAAGCACAGCUUUAACCGGCUUUCCCCACCCGAAAUCCAUGAUAUCAUAUAGCGGGAAAUUACACAUGCUUGUAAUAACGUAGAACCUGUACUUGUGUUUUGUGAACUCAAGAAACUCAGUCUCCAUUUCGUGUCCUUCCAUACUCUUGAUUCCUUUUAGCUGUUCCCUCUCUUUCCUCAUUCGUGCUACCAACGUUCUGUACUUUUUGUCCGCCUCUGUGGUCGCUACAAUGUGGUUUAGAAUCUGGAAAUUCCCCACAGUUGUUUCUUGCAGUGGCGGAUCAAUCAUAUGCCUCACAUUGACAGCCCGCAUUAAAACGGAUCCAUUAUGCACUCCAGCAUUAGUCCUAUCUGCCACGCUUACAAGACAUCUGUAAAGGAGUGCAGUCAGAAGCUCGUUGCGGGUGUAUUUUUGAUCUUCCACUACUCCAUCCAGCUUAUCCUCGUUAUUCACCACAAUCUUCAGUUCUGCUAGCUUUGUGUUGGGAAACACUAAUUCCUUCGUCGUCCAAUUCUUAUCUGGAAAUAUGAUGGUUUCGAUGGCAUUAAUAUCAUAGGAUAGAGGCAGCAGAGCAUUCACCAGAACGGGACAGAGAUGUAACAGUUUUCGGUGAUCACCAGAAUGGAGUGACAGAGUGGCCCAAUACCUUAAAAGUGUGCAGGUAGUCAGAGCAUCACCCAGAAGGUGAGAAAGGCAAAAAAUUGCUGACGAAAAAAUGUACAAACUAGUAAAAAAUGAAAAUCACUUCUGGUAGUAAAAAAAGUCUAAACUAGAACCUAGUUCAGCCCAAUAUUUUAGCAUUAGUUUUAACUGCAAAAAUCACUAAUUUGUACAUUAUUAAUGAUUAAUUUUUAAAUAGAAAUAUCACAAAUAAAUAAAUAAAUAAAUAUAAUUAAAAAAUUAAAAAAAUCAUCAAUUUUCACCAAAAAGUCGUAUUUUCCCAACUAGUUCUACCAUGGAACCAUAUAUAUUUGUCCAAAGUGAUUUACUGUUCAAUAUCAAGUCUAAAAAAAUACACAUAAAACACUACCUUAAAAGUGUGCAGGUAGUAAGAGCAUCCCCAAGAAGGUGAGAAAUGCUAACUGCUACAGCCAUCCCUCCACAAUCGAAACGGUUGAGUUGCACAUACAUUAUAUUACCCGAAUGCUUCUCAGAAAACUGAUUCCGAAUUGUGCAAGGUGGAAACAGAUGGCCUAAUCCGUCUUCUUCCUUGACUGCAGCUCUAUCCUGAACCUCCGACAUAUUGCAUCCGAUUUGAGCCUCGAUAAAUUGAACGCCUUCAUCGUUACAAUCGACGUACGAUCCAGAGCAUAUCCUUCCUGCAAAUGGAUAGUACUUGGACAGUGUCUCCGACAAAGACUUCUUCAGUAGAUCUGAUGCAUUAUCAGGGACCCGUUCACGAAUGGGAUCAGAGUUGUUUUUGGGAUAGAAAAAAAUCAGUGGAAUAUAAAAAUUUGGAACCAUGCGAUCAUGUAAAGGAAUAUUGUAUCGUUUGAGGUUCGAGGGAGUUGGAGAAGCUGGUUUAAUGCUGCAGGAAGAUCUUGAGAUUACAUGCAGCUGCCUUCUAAAUACUAAUGACAACCUCAUCAAUCCUUUAAACGUCAUUUUUAACUUGCCAAACCAAACUUUGAUGUGUAUAUCAGAUAUGAGCUGGUUUAAUUGGGGUAUUUAUACAGAUUUAUAAGAGAAGAUUACAGCCCAUGCCAAAAGACUUGGCGGUUGAAGCUGGUGAGAUGAUAUAACUCCUGAUUAACCGGAAAUCAGGGAUUAAUCGUAAGGAUUAAUCAGAGUGAAAAUCGGUUUUAUUUUGAAUAUUAAAAUAUUAUUUUUAAUAUUUAUUUAUUACUAUAUUAAUUAUUUAAUAAUAAAUAUAUUUAAUAUAUCAUAAAUUUUAUAAUUGUUCAUAUUUAAAGUAAAUAAGUAGUAUUCAAUUUUAAUAAUUUAUUAUAUAUAUAUACUUCGCUUGAGAAAAAUUUAUACGGAUUAAUCGAAUUUUAAAAAUCGAAUCAAUCGGCCAUCUUGCAGGAGAUUAAUUGGGAAUUCAUCGAUAAAAUCAAUAAUUUUUAAAACACUGCCGGCAACUGUAAGUAUAAAAAAUAGGAAUAAACAAAGAGCACUGGGAACCACAUGCAAGUGAUUGUUUACUGCUGGUUCUACCGGUCUCUGCCAAAAACUCUGAUAAAUACCAGACAAAACUACCAGUCUCCCUUGCAUAAAAUAUCUAAGCUACAUAGGAAUCUUUUUAUGUCUAUGCUACAAGACAUUUUUUAUGACUUGGAUCCCAUUUCAUUUGUGGCAUUGCAGCAGUUCAUUCUUUAUUUCCUGAAUUUUCUCUAUAAUCUUUACCUCAUGCCUCUUAAUUUUUAUUCAAGAUAAUUUUUUUUGCAAAUUACUGUGGUUCUGCUUUUCUUAUCUUUUCUUCUUUUGGCUUUGCUGGUACUUUUCCUUUGCCAGUUUAAUUUUACCUUCAACUUUGAGAAAUAAAUGUAUUUAGUGAUUUCACUGAUGAUAAUGUUAAGCAAUAGGGUUCAAAAUGCUUUCAUUAUAAUGCUACUUUAUUUAUUUAUAUUCAAACUCGAGUCUCCAGCAAGGGGAGCUCUUAAUACCAUGUGAAGUUAAUAUUCUCCUAAAAUCUCAAUAUGUUAGAAAGAGUAAUUUUUUAUUAAAAAAAUUGAAGAAAAGUAGAGUUUUAUUAUAAAUUUUAUACGUGUUACAUUGAAUAUUUAAAAGUAAAGCAAAAAAUUUGGUCUCCGCUAUGUAUAUUUGCUGGCUUCGUCGAAUCAGUUGGAUCGCUGGUAUUGGUGAGAGCGUGAGACAUUAAAGGGAGAUGGGCUGAUCAGAUCAGCUUGGUUGAUAAUGUCUAAAUCCAAUUCCUUAACAAGGAAUUGAUUUUACUCAUGAAAAAAGAGUGAUUAAAAAAAAAGUUUGCAGAAAGUCAAGACUCAAACCCCAUUCUUAUCAAGUCUUCCACUACUCUAUGCACAAUUCAAAAUACACAAAGACCAACCAAAAAGUUCUUGGAAGUAAUCAAAUAAAUGAUACUCUCCAAGUUCUUGUUCUCAAAUCAAACAAGUUUUAUGGUCUUAUAAACACGAGUUCCAAGAUUGUACACCCAUUUCCUAGCUUGACUGCUUGAGAAUCAUUGAUCUUUCGUACAAUGAGUUUUCAGGUGCACUGCCAGAAGAAUAUUUCAGAAACUUUAAGGCUAUGAUGAAUGCGGAAGUGAAUAAGAUAUAUCGUAGCUAUAUGGAGCAAGAUUAUUACACUGAUUCCACAGCUCUAGUGAUUAAAGGCAUGGAAAUUAAUUUAAAAAGAAUAUUGACUGUGUUCACAACUAUUGAUGUAUCAAAAAACAAUUUUGAUGGGGAGAUAGCUGAAUACUUUGGAAAUCUGGUAUCACUCAGAUUUCUUAAUCUUUCUCACAAUUAUCUCACAGGCCAUAUACCACGCUCGAUUGGAAAAUUGACUGUGCUGGAGUCACUAGGCCUCUCAUCCAACCAACUUGAAGGAGAAAUUCCUCAGCAGCUCACUAGUGUAUAUUCACUUGCAGUUCUCAAUCUGUCUUGCAACCAACUUAGAGGACGUAUUCCAGAAGGGUGGCAAUUCGAUACGUUUGAAAACAGCAGCUACGCUGGUAACUUUGGGCUGUGCGGACAUCCCUUGUCGAACAAGUGUGAAUCUUAUGUUAGGACACAAAAAGAAGACGAAGAAGAUGAGGAUGAAUGUCACUUUUUCUGUGGUUUUACUUGGGAAGCAGUGGUGAUUGGAUAUGGGUGUGGAGUGGUGCCUGCAUUUAUCACUGGGUUACUGAUGUUGCUGGCACGGAAGCCAAAAUGGUUCGAUGGAAUCAUUGGCAGGGAAUUGGGGCUCAAGAUCAGGAGGAUGGAGAUUAGAAUGCGAUACUAAAGGUUUGCUGUAAUCUGUAUCCCAUUCCCAGGUCUUGAAUAUUCUGUAAUAAUAUAGUAAUAUGUGCUCUCAUAUAAUUCUAUAUUUGCAGAUUGGAGAGGCAUGAACAUUUUGGCAUGUAAGUUGAUGGGACAAGCAGGUUUCAGAUUCAUUGGAAUCAACCACUACUUCAGCUGUUUUGCAUCUUUUGUGAUUUUAAAUUUUACAUUUUACAAUAAAAGUAAAAAAGAUACAAGCUCCAUGGACAAGUUUUGUAUUGUGUAGUUCCAGCCUCAGGCUGAUGGUUUAUAAUGUACAAUUUACAAUAUAUCACAAUUUGUAAUAUACAGUACCAGAUGAUUUUAUGGCCAAAUUAUCCUUAAUCGCUUUCAUGAACUAAUGGAAAUUUGUAAAAGCGGGUCACAUUUGCAGUGAUGCCGCUAUUUUUCCUGAAUAUUCCUAGUUCUGAAGAUUGUCUAAAUCAUGUUAGUAGCUGCCAUCAGUGAAUGCAUUCAACGGCUUACUGAAACUGGUAGAGAUACUAAAUUCACAAGUUAUUGAUAGAAUAGAAGAUGACAGAGUGUCCAUGCGUCAGUUUAAGGAUCGAGAUGUGUAGCCGUGACUUGUAUUUUAAAAUUGCACAAGAUGCUUUACAAUGGUAGCAGAGGGCUGCGGAUUUAUUGGGUUAGUUGGAAGCACUCAAGUCGAAUUGGUUGUAGCAGAGCAAGAAGCUGAGCACGACCAUAAGAAUUUGAACUCUGAGGCUAAUUUGACUCUACUUGUAAGCCUUCCACUAGACAGCAAGGUUAGGAGAAAGAUUGAGUCGAUGUAAGCCUUCCUCUGACGCCUGUGACAGAUCAAUGAGGCAUGAAAGUUGGGAACAGGGGACGAUUGGCGUAUUGGAAUGGAAGUGGAAAACUUCUUCAGAGCCUGAUGCUCUCGGAGAUACAAUCUAAUGAAAAAGCGUAAUGAUGAUCAUGACUCCGCCCUUGCUCUAAAUCAGUAAGAUCAACCUCUCUACACAAUUCACUAAUACCACCUCUUUAUAACAUUCUCACUCCUAGGUGAUGAAUAAAGUAUCAAGAAACAUAUUUUGUAUAAUGAAUUAUAUUUUUUAUUAUAUUCCUUUUUUUAAAAUAUAUUGCGUAUUACACUGUUUAUUAAUUCUAUUUGAAGCAAUUAAUUAAUUUUUAGCCGUAAUUUAACUUUCAAGGUAGCAUUAUCAGCAUGAGGAAUAGGCAGAGCUUCCAGAUGCUCUCUUCUGAUAGAUAUCAUUCAGCACUUGCUCUGAGUUUGUUGAUCAACCACGCGAUGUUGUAGGCAGCUCCUAUCUUAUCUGCAAUCAAGUUAAUGAACCACUACCUCAGUUGUUAAGCAUCUUUCAACAUUUCACAUUUUUGAGCAUUUAAUUAAUUAGUCAUCAGUCUUGUAUUUAGCUUGAUCGAACAUAAUUGUUCUCUUCAAUUUCUUUGCCUACUUGUCGACGUGUUUAUGUAGCGUGUCUCUACUCUGUAGCUUACACAUCAUUGAUUCAUGUUAUUUUCCCCUUAGGAACUUGAGAGACAUUUGGCAUCAAAAGAAGCUUCUCUCCCGCAAGAACCAUUUUCCCCUUAUGAACAUUUGACAUUUUGGUGUUGCUGAGAGCGCAGCGACUUUUGAUGAACUCGGCCUGUCUGGCAGACAGGAGGCCUUGUUUCUGGAGUUAAUAUAGCGGAUCUCGAAGAGUUUACCCAGAUGGACCAACUUUGUUUGUUAGUUGGAUGUAAAAGUUGUUUAGAGACGGGUAUUUUGUCGAAGUUUGUAUCUAUUGGGUAUUUCGUCUUUUAGUCAGACUAUGGCUCAUACAGUUUCAUACAGUUUGAAGUUGAUAUCAAAUCUUAGAUUAAAUUACUGAACAUUGUUUCUUGAAUUCGAUAUCGAAUUUUAAACGAAAAUAUGUUCAGUUCUAAUUUAAAAGUUAUGCAAAUUACAUUAAUAAUAUGUGGCCCUGUUUGUUUACCAAAAGCAGAAGCUGCUUCUGGCUUCUGCUUUUCUUGACCCGUUUGUGUAAAGAAGCAGAAGCACUUUUAAUAAACUGAGAAUCCUAACUUCUCUCUCACAGCUUCGGCUUCUUUUCCAAACACUUUAUUCACUUAUUUACUUCUCACUUCUGCUCCACUUCUCUAGUUUAAGCAAGAAGUCACUUCUUUUAAGCUUGCCCAAACGGCCCCAUAAUCUAUUUUGAGUCUCUUGGUCUUCGGUCUUCUAUUGCAGCAUAUCAUGCACAUCUCAAAUGAUUGAAAAUGAACUCUCUCCAAAAGACAAGGGGGUCUGUUGAAGUAGACCUGGAAUUGAUUUUACUUGAAGAAACAAUAAUAGGUCACCUUUUAAAGUUUUGGUCUUUGUCUUUUAUCUCUUAAAGUCUUUGUCGUUUACAUCUCAUACAAUUUGCUAUCGUAUUUAACACUUCACACAAUUCCAUGCUAUCGUAUUGAACACUUCACACAAUUCCAUAAUAUUGAAGAUUUUUGGCUUGAAAUAUUCUAGAGAAUAAGGUUGUACAUAAAAUUCAAUAAUUUAUUUCCUUUCCUUCAAUAUUACAACUCAUAUAUUUGUUGCCAAUGACUCAUUCAAUUCGCAUCAAUUAUUAUCAUCUUCACUUUAUCAAAGAGUCUUGCUCUUCGUCCUUUACAUGCUUUUAUUACGAUCCCCAUGUGCUUUGAAAAUACUUGUGUUAUAGUCCACAUCAAUCAAUACUCCUUAUUAAUAAGCGAAACCACAUUUCAGUGGAACAUCGGUACUAAAAGUACCAAAUUUGAUCAUCUUAUAUCAUAUUUAAUUAUUAUUAUUAUUAUACUCCUAUUAAAAGUAUUAUAUUAUCCUUAGGAGAUUUAUAUUGGUCAGGAAUUUAUAAUAUUUUAAGAUAUUAUAAUUAAAGACGACUUCUAUAAUUAUUAGGAUUUUAUAAUUAAUAUAAACUUCUUACUUAAUAAUGAUAAUCAUUAAACUAUUUUGAAAAAAUGUCGUAUUGGUUAGAAUUUUAUAAUUUUAUUAUAUUAUAAUGAAAAGACUUUCAUAUUUAUUAUGAUUUUAUAAGUAAAUACUUUAAUAUUGGUUAGGAUUUUAUAAUUAUCUUGAUAUUGAUUAGAAUUUUAUAAUUAAAGACUUCAAUGUUAUACUAUUAAAAAAAGAUUUCUAACGUUGUUAGGAUUUUGGAAUGCAACAGUUAUACCACCAAUAAAAUUAUUUAUUUUAAAUUCUUUAAACUCAAAUAAUUUAAUUUAUGAAACAACUCUGUAAAACUCCUAUCAUAUUUCAGCAUUCAAAUAAAUAAAGAUUUAUAUUGAUAUUACUUUUUAUUAAUAUGCCAUAUUUUUCUUUAGUGGAAGAACAUGAGUACCAAAUACCGAAUUAUCAAAAUUUGGUUAAUAUCAUGUAAUUUUAACAUUGUCGUACUCUUCACAAUAUAAUAAUAUUAUUAUAAUAACGGAAAGGGGGUGGUAGCACUAUCAUGAUAAAUGCAAAUUCCAAUGAGAAUAAAAUUACUGUGAAAAUUUUAUAAAUAAAUUAAUUUUAAAUUUAUUUAAUUUAUAAUCUCUAUUAUAGUUUUAUAUUAAUUUGAAAAAUAUCUAUUAAUAUUGAAUAUACAAGAACUUCAAUUAGUGUUACACUUAAUAAUAUUUAUUAGACGUCUAAAAUAACUAUGAACUAAAAAAAUUAAGUUUUAUUAAAAAUGGUUGAAUUUUUUUUCCAUCUAUUUAGAAUAAAAACAACAUAAUAAUUUUAUUAAAAUGAAACUUACCAUUUUAAAAUAAAUUCAUAUAAUAACAUAUAUCCUGAGAAUGUUUAUUUUGAAAAAUAAAACUUAAACAUAAUUAAAUAUUAAUAUGUUAAUGCAUAAUAAGUUUUGUAUCUCAACAAUAAUAAUUUAAAUAACUAUAUCAAAAAUAUUAUAAUUCCAAUAAAUAAUAAACUUAAAAAAUUUAUAUAAUCCCGUGCUUGGCACNCAAAAAUAUUAUAAUUCCAAUAAAUAAUAAACUUAAAAAAUUUAUAUAAUCCCGUGCUUGGCACGGGUUAUAGACUAGUAUUGAUAAAUAGACAAAUUACAAUAUUUAGUUCAUUAAUGAAGAGAUAAGACAUUCAUGUGUAUGUAUUUGAAAAAUAAAAUAUUAUGAAGCUAAAUGAAUAAACACUUCUGAAAAGUAAAACCCGUUUCUGGUCCAUUUUGUAGCUUGAAGAAAUGAAGCAGAAGUCAAGAUUUCCUUGAAGAAACAAAAUUUUAUAAAAGUUAAAAACAAUUCGAUAAUUAUUGUCUUUUUAAAAAACGGAGCACGCAACACUCUUUUAUAUCAUAUUUCAAUUCUUAGAGUCUUCCUUCUACUACUCCAAAAGUGGUUCUAUUAUAGGCCACAUAUUAAUAGAUCGAUACAAAUUUAUUAAAAAGAUCCUUAUUUUCAACAAUCAAUAUCAGUUUGACUACAAAUUUAUCUGAAAUGACCCUUGUUAAUGGACUCUAGCUUAUAGGGUCAAACUUGGCUAUACAUGCCUCGGAGAAAAUUCACCAGUUCGUAGAAGAGACCUUUCUGCUAUCAACUCUAUGAAAAAUGCAGCACUUAUCAUCUAAAUAAAAAUCAGUAAGACUAUCUUAGAUUCUCUGAAGUGUUUAUAUUGCAGCCGCUUGUAUUGAAUACACACAUAAAUAACCACACAUAAUCAGCAAGGUUCGAAUUUUUUUGGUUUAACCAUAUCACCAACAUGAAGAAAAGACUUUCAAGCGUCAUAAUAGCUAAGAGCUUUUAUUUUCAGGAUAACCCCGGUCUAGAUUAUUAUAAAAAACUUGUUUAUAUGGAGACAUAAUAAAGGUCCCAGAAUUUUUUACUCUUCAAGAUUUCCGUUUCUAGCCAAAUUUUUUGACCAUAAAUAAUAUAUUGGUUUUACCUGAAAACAAAAUUUAAAGAAAAUUCAAAUUUUUUUAUUACUUCUUUUCUUUUAUUAUUACUUCUUUUCUUUUAUUUUGAAAUUGCAAAACAGCUCAAAGUAGUUCUAAAAGAAUCAUUCUCCCCGCUAGAAUCAGUUACAAUUAAGGUUGACAAGAUGUUUUAGCUGCGAGUUCUUCAAAUUAUUGCUCGUAAGGUCCACGACAGCUUAGAUAGUCACCAAAACUUUGGCCUGUGGAUUAAGUUGAUGAAAUCUAGUGUAUUAGAAUCAAUGACAGCACUAUUUUAUGGGAUUGAUGCUCACUCUUCAUAUUAUGUGUUUUUCUAAUGUGUGUGUCCAAAUACACACAAUAAACACUAAAUUUGAUAAAAAAUCGUAAUAUUAGUCAUUCCGCUCAUAAAUUUCAAGUGGAGAAGAAAGAGUUUCUCAAAAAAAAGUGGAGAAGAAAGAGCAUCGUGAUUGUCAUUGUACCCUUAAAAUUUGUUCGAUUAGGUUUUUUACAUAGUUUGCGCGUGGUCAUCUGGGUAUGCCUUCAUUAUAUUAAGCCAAUCUAGUAAUUCCAUAUUAAACAAGUUUAAAAUUUUCAAAUUUUGAUCUUAAUAAAAUUGAAAAAAUAGUGAACUUUUUCUUAUUUAUGAUAUUAACAAAUCUCUUACUUUUUUAUUACUGUAUUCAACUAAAUAUUUUUUACAAACCCUCAUAAAUGCAUCACAUCAGUUAUGAAAUUUAAAACAAAUAUAUCCAAUUUCUUCGAGAAAGAUGGUUGUAUAAUUUUUAAUUAAAAAAUUUAAUUAUUUUUAUUUUUAACAUAAUUUACAACUAAAAAAAUAUUAUAUGUUCACUGCUUUGUAAUAUAAUUAAAUAUAUCUUAAAUACAGUUUUUCCUAUAUAUAUGCUAACCUCGAGAGACGUUGAAGAUCAUCCCAAACAAAAUUUGAAAGGGAAAAUGAAAAUGAGGAAUUGCAACCUCUGUUUUUUCACCAUCAGUAUGAUGCUCAUCUUCUUGCAGUUGCAGCACCACCUGGUGGCUUGUUCAUUAAGCCCCCACUUGCAGAAACUUGCCUUGUUCCACUUUAACCAAACCUUCACAAUCACUCCUGGGGAUUGCGAGUAUUAUUCCUACAAAGACGAAGAAUUUUACGAAAUUCCUUCACGGGCAAAGACAAAGAACUGGAGCAUGAGUUCUGAUCACUGCACAUGGGAUGGAGUUAGCUGCGACGACAAGACGGGGG